rnacentral:lncRNA from 1 species
UAUUAUUCAUGUUUCAUCAUGGUUUAUUUUCGAAAGUAUUUGGAAUGUUUCAAUUAAAAAAAUUGACAUUACACCUAAAAAAUAUUUGUGAGAUUUCAUAUUUCUUAGAAGAGAAGUUUUCAGCAAUUAGACUUAAUUUGAAAUGACUUUUUUUUUUUCUUAUUUGAAAGCUUAAAUUAAAGCCAAAAUUAUAAUUUUUAAGAAAUAAUAUUAUAGUAAAAUUUUUAUUAAAUAUGAAAAAACUCUCGUAAAAAUUAAAAUAAGGAUUUUAUAAAAAAUAAUAUUUUCUUGACUAUUAUAUUAAAUUAUUUGAUAUGUUAUAUACCAUUUAAAUAAAAUUAAUAAAUAAGACAUAAAAGUUCUUAUUUAACUUAAAAAAUAGUUUUUAACUUAACAGAAAUCAAUUUAACUAAGGUUUUAUAAGAUACUCCACGCCGUUAGGUUUGAUGAAAUUUGACCUAAUCAAAAUCAAGGCUAGACUUGGUCAUGGCCAUGGUUGAAGCAAAAAUCAAAUGUACAAACAUGAUGAAAUUGCAGACUCCCACAAUGCCCCCACUACCAUUAAUUUAGAUAAAUUUUUCAGACCAAUGGAGAUUACAUUCAGGAAAAAGGAACCCUCCUGCCCAUUACCUCAGCCCCCUCAUUAAUUAUUUUCGUCUAUUAUAAUGUCUCCAACAUUAUGAAUUAAUCAACAGCACAACAAUAUGAAAACCCACCCACAUAAGCUACUCUUAAUAUUAUUUAAGACAGAGGGACCAUGUGGGUCGAUUCCCAACAGCCUGUUUAACACCCAAAGAGACCAUUAAUCUCACUUUAAAAACCCAAAAAAAAGAAAGAAAGAAAAAUUAAUCAAAUUCAAGUUGUAUUAGUGUGGUUCAUAUUCAUGUUUCGUCCCUUUAACUUUAGACUAAAUGGAUGGAUUUGAACUCAAUCAUAGUGGGUGGUAGGAUAAUUAAUAAUAAUAAAAAUAAAAAUAAAAAUAAUAAUUGUGAAUAACCAAGUGGGUAUUGGGUUAGUAGUUUAAUAAUGUUGAGUCCAUGUGAAUAAGGGGUGGUGGUAGUAGAUGAAUGAGAGUGUCCUUAUUGUUUGGACUUUUGGAGUUGAGAUUGAAUAUAAAAAGAAAGAUAUUGAAGAGGGGUGGGGCUAAGUGAAUUCCUUGGAUGCUCUCAUAUGCUAUAAUUGAGUUAGAGAUAGUGCAAUGAUUUGGUCUCAUACAUGGUCUGUCUUUAAUGUACAUGAUUUUCUACCUUCCUCUGCUUUUGCUUCUUUGUACUGAGACAUGAAAGCCCAUCUCUCUCUCACUCUCCCAAAAAAAAAAAAAUAAAUAAAUAAAUUCUACUUGGAUCAUAUGGCUGCACACUUGAGAUUAAAAAUGGCCAAAUUGGAGCCUUUACUUUGUCCUAUCUUAAUCUUGUAAUGCAUGUUUUUCACUAUUUUAUGGUAGAUUUUCUUGUUUUUGGUUAGCAAUAUUGAAGUCGUAUAUAAGUCACUUAACAUCGUUUGUGAUAAUUUCUUAUUUUUAUCUUUAAUCGAAAAAUGAAGUUGAAGUUAAAAUCAUAAUUUUAAAAGGGUAAUAUCAGUAUUGUAUUAUAAGUUCCAUUAAAUGAAUUUUUUACAUAAGUCACAAUAAAAUUUUUCUAAAAAAUAAUAUUUUCUUGGCUUUCAUAUUAUUAUUAUUUUUUUACAAUCAUAAGUUUUUUUUAAUAAAAUUAGUCACAAACUGAAGCUCUUGUUAAACAAAAAAAAAAAAAAAAACACUUUUAAUUUCUCAAAAUUCAAAUCAAAUUGGGUUUUUGAAAAGAAGAAAAAAAUUAUAAAAACUCGAUUUCUAACAAUCACAACUUACCCUAACUAAUCGAUUAUCAUAUCAUCUAUAAAAUUAAUUAAAAAGGAUGUGAAAUUUUCUUAUAUUUAUUUAUUAAAUAUGAAAAACCUUCAAAAUAUCUCAUGAUUGCGUUCAAAUGGUCAAAAAAAUAAAAAAUGCACAAAAGAAUCAAUCUCAAUGUCCUUUUUGGACUAGCACCAAUAGAAAUGAUACGUCAUUGAACGGUUAGGAAAUAUGUUCCCUUGUACUAUUAGAGUUCAAUGAUCCAAGAUUUUUUAUUAUUAUGACAUAAAUUUAUUUUAUACCAUCCUUCUCAUGUAAGGUUGUUUUGGAAGAGAUUUGGAGUCUAAUAAAUUGGAAAAACAAAUUAAUUUCUUUUGAAAUUUGAUAAAAUCAUAACACCAUCUAUGCCAUGUUGGUCAUAAUUGUUAAAAAUUUAUUAAUAUUAUAAAAUUUUUAUCAAAUAUGAAAUAGUUUUCUACAUAAACCCGAAAAGACUUUUAUAUUUAGUAUUGUUUUCUAAUUUUUGUAUUAAAUUAUUUUUAAAUCAUAAUUUUUUAAAUAAAAUUAAUCAAAUAAAUAAAUAAAAAUUUUAAAAAUGUUUUUGACUCCUCAAAAGUUAAUUCAAAUGGGUUUUCAAAGACUUUUUAGCUGUGGAAAUGCAUGUAUUUGGCAAUAAAGAAAGGCAAAAUUUGUGUUAAAUGAGGGCAUAUGACAGCAAUAAUCAAGCUAAUAUUAAUAUUAAGGUACAUGUCACUGCAACAUAUUUGUAGGUGGUUUAAAGCCUCCAUGUGCUUUUGUACUACUUUAAAUUAUAUUAAAGGGAAAAACAGAUUGGCCAAGGAAUAAUGUGGAGGUUGGCCUUUUGAGAUUGUGGAGGAAUCACCAAAUCUCCUUUUCUUUCCUCAGUGCCAAAAUGCCCUUGUUUGACAUCAAUCAUGUUUCAACACAUUUUUACAAAGUACAAUGCUAUAAUUACCUGGAUUGCUGUGGAUCAAUCAAGCAUCUCUCCAUCUCAAUUCAUUUUUUGGGGAAAAAAAAAUGGAAAAUUUGAAAUUAAAAUUGUGAAGCUUUUUUGGGUCAAAAUUGAAAAUACAUCUAGUGUAUGAUAAUAAAUGAAUUCUUGCUUAUAAGUAUUAGGAAGUAUUUUUUGUAAUUAAAGGUCAUUAAACUAUGUUUUUAUUUAUUUAUUUUUAUUUUUUUGUUGGGUAGUGGAGGAGAUUGUUGGCAGAUUGGAGGUUGAUUACGUCCUAUCAACUCUUCUUGAAUACGAAUGUCGUGGGUUCUUGAAUGAAUAUACUAUAAGGAUAUAAUAUGUGUAUUUCCUAACAACAAUUGCUUUUAGGAAAGUUGGUAGUACUUGAGAUCUUACAAGUGGUAUUAGAGCCGAGGUCACAGGUCACAGGUCACAUAUUCAAACCCCAAACCCCAAGGGUGUCGUUGGGGGAGAGUUAUAAAUGUCUUCUCAAAUAAUGGAUAACAUUCAUUAACACUUGAAAUUUUGUAAAAUUUAUAGCAUAUGUUAACAUGAAAAUAUCUAUAGAAGAUGAUAAUAAAAUCAAGAUUUCAAAAAAGUUUUAACUUUAAAGAACAAACAAAAUAUAAGGACAUGGUGGACUCGUACUAAGAAGACAUUAGAAAUCCAUGAGUCAAGAAUUCUGAUCAUUAUUCAUAGAAGGGAACAUUUUCUUGGUCUUUUGAUAAGAGGGAAAAAUGCUUUAAAAAAUUUUGAUAUGUCAAUUUGUAAUAUUACUUGCUGGGCCAUCGAAGUCAUUUAAUGGAACCGAUACAUAGUAAAAGAUUGAAAAUAAGUCAUUUCAAGAAGAAAAGUGUUAGCACAAGGGUUCUCCUAAUCUUGUUUAGAUGAUAACAAACCAUGAUUAAGUUACUAAUUGGUUUGAAUUAUAAAUAAUUUUAGGUAUUAAUUUGAAAAUUCAUCAAAGGACCUAAUGGAUGUAAGAUCAAGAUUUUUGAAAGACUUUUUAAUCAUAGGAAACAUAUGUAAGAUGAAUGCAUGAGUGUGCUUAGGAUUUUCAUAUCAUUUUAUGUAUAUUUGAAAACUUGGUUUAUGCAUUAAAGUUACAUUUUCAUCAAAAUCCAAGUUUUGUCAAAUGAACCUUAGGCAAAAUGUUUUAAAAUUGACAUAUUAGUUUACCUAAAGACCUUGCCUAAGUGAUAGAAACAAAAAGACCAGAAACAGAUAGGUUUUUGGGUAAAAAAUAAUGAAUCGGUCGAGGCACUGGCCAAUCGGCUCAACCAACUAGGGUACUGGUUGACCGAUUACUCCUUCCCGAUCGAGGUUCGAUCGAGAGAUACAAAAAACAUUCUCUCUCUUCUAAUAGUCUUUCUUUCUCGGUCGAGGGUAACGACCACCUGCCAAACAUUUAAUGUUCCAACGGUUAGUGAACCGGUCGACCCCCAACUCGACUGGUCGAGAUUGUUUUUUGGUUUUUUGGUUCCCAAGGUUAGAAACCUAUAAAUUAAGAGCUCCACUUCAUUUAUAAGUAAGAGAACACCUGUAUUUAUUUGUUCUUGCCAUAAAAGCUCUCAUUCUUUUCUUGGUGCAUUAAAUCUUCAUUUGUAUAUUCUUUAGUGCACCCUUGUGAUUCAUUCUAGCCUUGAGUUGUAUUUGAGCAAUUGUUGAGUUAGGUUGAGAGAUUCGAAUUUGUUAAUUGAGUGUUAAAACCUUUAAGUGAGUAAAGACUUGAAGAGAUUGUAUAAGAGCCCAUUAAAACCGAAAUCCAAAUGUAAAAAAUGAUUAGAUGCUUGGUUGAAGUUUUAAGUAUAAGUGGAACAUUCACUCAGUUAAGAGCUUGAGGAGAGUGGAUGUAGGCAAGGAAGUGUUGAACCACUAUAAAUCUGAGUUUGCUUUCUAUAACCUUAUCUCUUUAUAUUUGUGCUUCUUGUGUUUAAUUUUAUUGUGUUUAAAAAGAAUUUUUUUUUUUUUUUAAACUCCAAUCCACCCCUUCUCUUGGAUGUUUCUAUCUAUUUAGAUUAACCCUUUAUUUUAUCAAAAAAUAGUGAUGUAAAUAAGAUGAGACAUAGUCAAGGAGGGUUCAUUCAUCUUCAUCGCUACUUGUAAAUUUAUUUUAUCUCCAUCAUAUUCUCCAUUUUAGAUAAUUCUAUUCCUUGUUUUAGACUAAACAGGAUGGGGAAUCCUUGUAAGGGAAAUAAUUUCCCUUUCUCAAAAGGGAACCCAUGUUAAUUUCAAUUUUAAAAUAUUAAAUUAUAUAUGGUAUCAUAUUUUUAAAAAUUUAAUAAAUAUAAAAUUACAUAAUAUAAUAAUAAUAAUAAUAAUAAUAACAACAAUGAUAAUAAUAAUGAUAAUUUCGGACUAGGAUGGGACGGGGAAUAAGGCCCCGCCUGGUCCGGAUUCGGGUUUUUACAAAUUUUCCCAUACCCGUCCCCACCUCAUUAGGAUAAUUUCGGGUUUUUUUGCCAUCCCUACGGCAACAUUCUGGAGAGUGUUCAUAUAAUGAACUCAUUUCAAAUGCCUGCAAAUUCACAGAGAAUUGUUUCAGUCCAACCUCAUUGCUUUCUUCCUCCCUUCAAUUACUGAUAAGAUACCUGCUGAAGAGAUUUUGCAGACAGCCCCCAAUGUCAGAAUUGAGUUUCAACAAAGUAGUAUGAUCUUUUAUUUAUCUACCCAUGGUAGCUGAAAAAUUUGCAGCUUUAUAUGUUUAGCCUUAGGAGACGCCACAGACCUUUCACAAACUUAACUUGUACAUCAUAUAUCACCAUUACUGCAUCAAUGAAUUAUCAUCGACAAUUCAGGUAAAUAUUGUACUUCUCUUUGGUACAUAUUUUUUAAGAGUCGCAACUGUCAAAAGAGUGGGCUUACUACCUCGAUCCAUCGGCAUUAAACUCCGAGAUAUCACUGCAAUAUCAUCUUAAUACAAAGAACACAAACAAAUGUAGAUGAUGGUGGAGAGCCAAGAUUGUGGUUCAAGUGUUUCCAUUCUUUUCUCCGGAGAGAGAGAGCCAUAGAAAAGGUUGUAUAGCUGAAAUAUGACAUCUUCUCUUGCUAAGAGAUGAAGCAAAAGGCCCUCACACGUCCUAGAAUUUAUUGCAGUCACAUCAAGGUGUUUUGUUGUUAAGUGUGAAGAGAUCCACUGAGCCUGAAUUUGAAGACUUGGGUGUAGAAAUGGGCUUUGAGGUGGUUGGGUUGGGCUGAUGGCUCACAUGCUGAAACUUUCUGGGCUGGCCUAGGUUGAUGACAAGUAGAGAGCCUGUUGUGAGUUGAGGCUCUUUCUGCAAUGUUUAUGGGCCAUUCUUGGUUGAUAAUUCACAUACAAGCUUGAACUAAGGUCUAAAAUAAAGAUAAUGAUUGGGUUCUUUCUGGAAAUGAAGGGUUUGUUUAGAGAGACUAUUUGUGAAAACCAAAAACAAUUUUCUAAGUUAGAAAACAUGUUUGCUAAACUUUGAUUAGAAAAAAAAAAAAACAGUUUUUAAGAUUUUAUUCUGAAAACAUGCUGCUUUUUUGGGAAAAAAUUAAGGUGUUUUUAGUUGUUUCUUAUAUUAUGUUUUGAGUAACAAUUGAAAGUACGAAGAAUACUUUUUAGAAAUAAAGGGACAUUUGGAAAACAGAAAAUAAGUUUUUUAACAAGUAAACUUUUGAGAGAUGACAAUUUUUGAGAAUUUGUUUUGAAAACAGAUUCUUUUCUCGAACAAAUUGGAGAAGUUCUUAAUUGUUUUUAGUAACAAUUAAAAUUAUGGAAAAUAUUUUGGAAACCUUUGUAUUCUAUACAUGGAGAACAAGUCAAUAAAACUGUUUUCAAUAUUUUAGUUCUCAAACGUUGUUCCCAAAAACAAUCGAACAAAAAGCAAUUGAGAACGGUGUGUUGAACUACUAAUAUGCAUGUCAUGCUCCUUAAUACCCUCUCUUGCGUUCGACCCCAUACCUGUAUGUGGAGAGAUACCAUAGAAUUGCAAAUUCGGUAAGAAACAAAUUAUGGAGAGGUGGUUUGAACUCACGAACUUGGACUAAAUCAAGCUAUAAUACCAUGUUGAACUAUCAACUACCAAUUUUUAUAAAAGCUUAAAUUUGUUCGAUUUGGGCUCAAUAUGCAUAUCACGGUGAGAAAUUUGUUUCUAAAAACAUUACCAUAUAGACCGAAAUCAUCAUGGAGCGACCAUUCUUUGGAUUGGUUACAAAAAUUGCCGCUUCCAUUUCUACAGUCAAAUGUUUUCAUUUGGAGGUUGGACUAUUCAAAGGUUAGACUUGAUCAGCCAGGUGUGACAGAGCACCCACACCACAAUUUAUAUUUUUAUGCAGUAGAUGGAGGCAGCUCAGUGAUUGGAUGCUGAGAUUAAUUUAAAGAAACCAUUGAUGAUUAUCCAUGGGGGCUUUAACUUCUUCAGAUAAUUUUAGUUGGAUUAUUUCAAUGAACUGUUUGUCAAUGUCUUUCCGUUGCAGACAAGAAAUGUAUAGUGAUGAUCUCAUGGGGGGGUGGCUUGCAUAUUCAAUUUCCCUCAACUAUGACAGAUAAACUGCAUAUACAAUGUCAAUUUGCAUGGAGGUCUUUUUCAGAAUGAACCAAAUCCCAUCACUCAACAUAAUCUAACAGCUUGUGGACAAAAAAUAAAAAAUUUCUUUUUACCCAAUCUUUUUUCUCAAGAAAACCAUAGUAAAAAUCCAACAAACAGAUCAAAUUUCAACUGGGGAUGACUCAUUUCAUCUAAUCUUUUUCGCCUUUUUAUAAAAACAGAGUAAUAUACACCAUGUUAACAAGAUGAAACCACUGUACAAGCUGCAAGCAUAGUCUUGGAUCGUAUCAGGGCUUACGAUUUAUGGACCAAAGUAGAGGGGCUAAUGAAACCGUCCCCAAAUCCUAUGUGCCAGAUGACAUAAAUAUACAAUAACAACCAUUCUACAAGAGAGUUAGCAUUUGGUUGCUAGUAAAUCAGAUGUAUAGGCAAGAUGUAAGAAUGUGUGGAACUAUCAGAAUAGAGAAGCAGCUGACUGGGAUAUGGAGGGAUUGAGGUUUUGAUUCGUGAAAUAAAGUUGAGAGAAUUUGUAAUCAUUGGCUGUUCAUUGAAAAUGCAGCAGCCAGUGAGGGUAGAUAGAGAGGGAGACAAUGAAGCUUAGGCUGCAUAAUUAUCUUGGGGCUGUUGGACAGUAGUGCUACUACUGUCCUGUGGCUGAGAGCUAGGGAAAGUUGUUCUGGGUUGUGGUAAUAGAUGAUUUGCAGCAUCAAAAUAAUCCCAUAAUGGGCUAACAGGAACCAUACCUGCUGAAACUGAAUUGUACCAAGUCUCUGUCGUAUCACCCCAUACAGGAUUGGAAAAUUCAGAUAUGCCUUCCCCUGUUCCAGAACCUGGUGUGAGUGCCUGAGCCUGGACUGUGAUCUCGCUUGAUCGUAGAUCAGCAGGACACUUGCCCUUAAAGCUGGGCUUGGCCAAAUCUUUUUUAGGACUAUGCCCAAGCGCUGAAGGCACCAUUCCCAUUUGCCAAACUGGUGAAUUGGUCUCUCCUUGGACUUGCUGGAGAUGCUGUUGGUUCUGUUGGGGCAGGGGAUUUUUAUUGGUGAUAUGGGAGAAAUAUGAAGAAGCUGAAUUUGAAGCCAUUAAGGUUCCCAUAUCUUCACUUUUCUGGUGGACGAAAAGAUGUGGGAAAUUCAGGCGUGCAUUCUCUCCCCUUUGCUUGAAGGCCUCUCGGUCAUAGGCCAAAGCAGCCUCCUCUGCUGUGUCGAAUGUACCUAACCAUAGGCGCCUCCUGUUGCGAGGGAGACGUAUCUCAGCCACCCAUUUGCCCCAUUGGCGUUGCCUCACUCCUCUGUAGAGCUUGGCGUUGGGCGGACCAAUGGUUGAAGGCCUAAAAACACCACCUCCAUCUUGGACUAGUCCAUUUGUCAGCAUUGUUGGCAUCAUCGUUCUUCCUCGAGGACUUAGAUUAAGCACACUGCUCCAAUACUGGAGAAGCCUAUGGUUCGAGUAAGGCUCCAACUCAGAGUCAUUUGGUGAAAAAGAGAUCAUUUGUUGCUCCACAUGGGUUGGCAUGGAAAAGGGAAGACCAAACCUUAAGGAAGCUGGAGAAGAAAUAGGAUUUGGAGCCAUUUGAUGGAUGAAAUGAGAAGGUCGUUGAAUUGGGAUUUGAUGUUCCAGGCUUCUGACCCUCUUAAGAGGCCUAUUCAGCAUCAAUGACUCUUCCAUGGCUGGCUUUAACAGUUUCUUCUCUGAGCCAAUACAACGUCUCUUGCCCUUGUCUUUACCUGGAUUCCGGUUCAGUACAGUCCGAGCCAUGUUGCCAACAUCUUCAUUCUCUUGAUUUGAUACACUACUAUUAGCAUCAUCCAUUGUGGUCACAGUGAGAUGAGCUUUUUCUCUUGGUAGCAGAUAGUAGAAGAAGAGGCCUACAAGAAAAAUAGCAGAACAAAUUUACAAAGAGCAAGCCCUGAUCAAUCAACAAGUAGGAGAAAGAGACGGUAGGAUCAGGAAGAGGGCAGGUUUGAGGUGACGAGGGAAUGACUACAACUUAUAGAGCAGAUAAAGAUAUGAUAUGCGCUGACUUGGAUGAGAGGCACAAGGUUGAUAGGUGGAGGACCCACACGGUUAUCUCCAAUACUAUGAAUUUAGUUUUUUGGUCAAGUUUCACUCAACUCUUCCAUCCAAGUUAAUGGACGAUGAGUCUCUCCCCCUCACAAAGACAAAAAUGAUGUUUACCCAUUGAGAAAGGAACUCAUGCCUCACGACUUUGAACAAUACCAGAUGUCAAAAACUCAUGCAAACAAGUUUGCUACAUCCCUAGAAAAGUCAGCAAGUUACCUGGCAUGUUGGGAUAUCCUGCUGUUGUGAUAGGAGAAGUUUUUGACGCUAUAUACGUAUAAACUUCUCUUAAUCAUAUAAACGUGUUUCUAAGUCAGUAAAACUUUUUGGGCUUAUAGCAAAUAAAUUUAAAAUCUAUUUGACAGUAAUUUUAGGAAGUAUUUCUAACUUUUUUAACAUUUAAAAUUUUUAUCUUUCAAGUAUUAGAAACGUUAAAAAUAUUUUUUUAAAUUAUCACCAAAUGCACUCUCACAUGAGAGGGAACAAGUCAUUACAAAUAGUAUUAAAACUAAUCCCUAAUCUCAACAUGGAUCUUUAUCUAUCUGAUCCCGUGAGGAAUGUCUAUCUGUUUAGUCUUGCAAUACAAGAAAAACCUGAUGUUACUCUCUCUCUAUAUAUAUAUGAGUUGUUUUUAAUGGAAUGGACAUGGUUUAAAACUGAGAGAACUUAUAAUUAUAAUAGACAAUAUUUAUAUGAUAUGAACAGGUGUUACACAUGAAAUCAACUAAACCAAACCUAUUACAUCACAAGCCACUAUUUGUUUCUUUUCUUGGUCCUGAAAGGGGUCUGACUUUUGGCAGAUGAGGAUUCAUUGUCAGAGUAGAGUCAAAAAAAAAAAAAAAGAAUGUUUCAUGGCAGUUGCACAGUACAGAUUACCAAAUAUUCUCUCACCCAUCUAGGAUCAAAGCCUCUACUUUCUAAUGGUGCAGAUUAACUUAAAAUCAAACUCCUUUUUGUGCUUUUCUUAGUAAUAUUCUUUUAGAUAUAUUCUCUUUUGUGAUAAUUAUUAUAUUAGUUUCCAACUCAAGUGGAUAUAUGAGGUGGAAUGGCACAAUCAGAUAACCUAAGAAGUAGAAUAAAGUAAACGAUAAUGCUCUGGUCAUCAUCUGAACCAGCUGAAAAAUUCAACCACAGCAUAGGAUUUUCUGUAGUGAAGAGACAAUCAUACCCCAUUCUGGGAAGUGGCCACUUUGUAAGAACUAAGGACCCCCACAACUUGAUCCAUUGUGUGGCUGCAUGGAACAUAUCUUAUGCAUGAGACUUUGCCUAAUUUCUUAGUAUUUCUUGGAUUAAAGUCAACUCUUAUGGCUGUGCCCCUUGUGCCCAGUCCUUUUCUUACUAACAUUUGAGUCAAUCGUCAAGCAAAACCUGGUUCCGUUGCUGACUUUUUCUUCUGGAUGGGAGUGGGAAUAACUCCUUUCGGUGUAAGGAUUUUCUUUGGCAUAAAACUUUGAUUCGCUCUGUUUUGUUUUUUUUGUUUUUUGUUUUUGUUUUUUUCUAAGGGUGGAAUGAUCCUGCCACCGACCCCGGGGAUUAAGGUUCCAUGUUUGAUAGGUAACAGAUUCCAAAAUUCUGGUCUCAUCUUGAUGAUGAGAAUAGACCAAACCCAAGCCAAAGUUGCAGUCUGCAGAAAUGUAGACUUUGUUUAAGAAGUUUUUUUGAAAACAGUUACGGAAAAUCAUUUUUAAAAACAGUUUUUAUGUUUUGUAGAAUAAAAUUCUGUUUGAAAAUCUAAAAUGUUUUUAACCUAUUUUCUACAUUUUUUUUUAUUAUCAUUCUUUCCUUUUAGCUGAGAAAGCAAUGGGAAAAAAAAUUUAGCAGAGAAACACCCCACCUUCUGAAGAACAUGUGGCCUACACAUUUUCCUUCUAAUUUGAUUUCUUCCUAUGAAAAUGCAGUAAAUGGGCAGAAGAUUAAAAAUUUUCCUGCCUUGCUUGUGCUGCUUGUAAGAAUUUGAUAAAUUUCAAGGAAGCAUUGCCAUGUGAAAAGAAUUACAAUAGACCAUCUUCUCGAGGGUUUCAUCAAGAACAUUCAUGUUCCUACCAAUUUCUUCAACCAUUUAUACAGUCAAGAUUUUGGGACAUCUGGAUUUGGGACAUCUGAAAUUUAGUUCCUCUGGCAUUGUAAACAGUAACUUCUGAUAAUCUACGAAUUAUCAUCACAUUCGGUUUCCUAAUCACUUGUAAGGAUGAAAUUCUUCAAACUAACAAAUGUUGAGAUCAACAAAAGUAUCCCUGUGGCCUGAUAUGCAGGAUGAUUUUUUCCAUGCAAGGUUAACAAAAAAACCUGAAAAAGAAGAUGUGAUAUGAACCUGGCCAGAUAAUUAGCUACCAUUGAGAACAUGAUCAUGUAAAUCGUAUAGGAACACGACCAACAGUGUCCUGAUCCUGCUAUUAUUUAUAGGACAAAGAAGGAAUCGUUCACAAUAGAAUGAGAGGGAAAAAAAACAUGAAAUACAGAUGAGAAUACAAUCUAUCUCUGACUAAAUUCAAUCCCUCAUAUAUGAAAUGAAAAACAAAAUGGGCAAUGGAGAAAGCAAAUUGACAAGCCAGUCAUGAUCGCCUUAACUAAGCUCAGCUGUAGGUUCCCAUCCCAACACCAGUUUCUCUACCACCAUAAGCUGGGAAGCUUCCUCUGGCUUUUGAAUAGCAAACAUAGUAGAGUUCAGAGAGUAUGGCAGUGAAGAAUGUGAAAGCGGCCCCUGCCCCAAACACACCCUUUCUCAAGGUCUCACAUGACGGGGGAUCCUCACUGAAAAUUGUCCUGUACUUGGUGUGGUAGGCAUUCCUCACUGAACCCGCUAACAGGCAUAUCUCAGCAAUGAGAAAAGUAACCCUGAUAGAGAUCACAGAAAAAUUACUAAAUCUUAGCUGCAAAAUUGAUCAAGAUAUUUGAAAAAUUAAUGAAUCUGGUCAAUUUUUUUGAGGAAAACACUCAUGUUUUACUAGUAUGCUUUAGUACAGGAACGAACCAGCAAGUUAUGAAAAGGAUGACUGCCCAAGCCCUUGAACCUCCAGGAUUCAAAGCCUUCCCACAGCAGAAGCAUCGGCUUGCGACCAUUAUAAUGGCUUGACUGGCGAAGAGGAAAAGAAGUGCACCAACACCCAAACCGGUUGAAAUGUCUGAGUCAUAGACACAGUACUUAUAAUUAUCUUCACUGUCUGUAACAACUUGGGCCUGUCAAAGAAAACAACAAUGGCACUUUAAUUCAUUAGGAACCAGCUAAUCAGCCAAGGAGAUCAUUGCUACAUUAAAAACAGAGAUGGGUAUAAAGCCGAAAUCUCAAUAAUCCAAUGGAGUGACCUGUACUGAACAAAUUGGUUGAAGUGCUUAAAAGUGUUAAACAAAUGUUGGCUGAUCUGUUUGGCUGCUAAGAGAAUAUAAGACAAAAAGACCCAGAAGUUUUGAAUCUUAAAUUUCAUUAUUUUGGACCAAAUAUGAUGUAAAAAUGCUUGGUUCCAGUAAGACCAGAAUCACAUAAACAUCAUAGCAAGCUAAAAAGUCAAUUAUGAGAUGAAGCAUCACUAGUGGCCAGAUUUGAAUUGGGGAAAAUUGAUGGAAUUUGUGGACUUAAAGCAAAUGCCUUUAUCCUACUCAGAUCUAGUCUUAUCGGUGGCUGGCUAUUAAUCAAUAAGCACUUUCAGAGAAGGAGAUCUACCCCAUCAAUACUCAGAUCUCAUAAUCAUUUCAGUGUUGCCUAAUCAAAUUCCAUCCAUAAGACAAAUAGAUCCAUCUCAAUUCUUUGGAGUAAGCUUAUUCCUGUUUUGAAGUUGAUAGAGGGAAAUGGUAAUAGAUCUGAAACAUUUAGAAAACAAAUAGAUGCAAGAAUUUCAGUUACCCUCUGCUUGGCUGCUCAGAAAACAGUGGGAAAAGAAACAAUAAAAGAACAAACACCCAAUCCUUCAAUUUCUUUUUUCUUUUUCCUCCUUUUUCUCAGGUACCAUACAGGAGACAAUGGAUCCAUAUCUUAAAGAAACCCCAUUUCUCCAAACCCAUCAACAAAAUCACAAAAAUGCAUCAAAGUAGAAACCCAUCAACAAAAUCAAACAUUCACCCACUAACCUCCACCACAAAAUGCAUCUUCCCACCUAUCUAUCAAGCAUAGGAAAACAGAGUAACUCAUUGAAGCAGUGAGAGAAAUAAGAGUGUGUACUCACAGUGCUUCUCCUCUGCUCAGCUGCAACUGCUAAACCAAAGGCAAUGACAUCAAAGAUUAAGACCACGACCAGUAUCACUGUUGAAGCCAUCGCUGCAGAGAACCUUCAGGUCACACCAGAUCUACCCUUCUCCCUACUACUCUCUAUAAACCACACAGUCUGUCUGAGAAGCAGAGGCAAUUAUAACAAGAAAUAAUGACAAUAAUAAUAAUGAUAAUAAGAAAAAGAAAGAGAAAUUUACCAAAAGAAUAUGACACCAUACCUGUUUGAUUGAAAAUAACCAUCUCACCUGCAACCAAAAAAAAAAUUUGCUUUCACAAGCAAACGCUAAAUUGAGAAAGAAGCCACAUGAAAGCUUUUGGAAUCAGGUAGACGCAGUCAAUGCAGAUUGCAGACGGUAUAAGAUUCUGAGUACAUGAAAACUACUGUUUUGAGUAUUUUACCCGCCAAACAAACCUUAUUAUCACUUUAGCGGCUUAGCCUAGCAUUUGUAACGCUCCGUGCCCAAUUCUGUAGUAUAAAUUUAAAUCAUAUUUUUAAAAUAUGAUUUCAAAUUAAUUAAAAAAAUUACUUUGAGAAGGUGGGUCCAAUUUGGUACAAGUAAUAGAAGGUGAGAGGUGGAGGGUUUGUUUGGUUGAAGUGUUGACGACGACAUGCAUUGUCGGUGAAGUAAAAGAAUAGAAGAAGAAGCUAUCAAUCUCCAGAUCCGACGGCCCACCUGACGCGCUUUCAUAGAGAAGCGUGAAGCACACGAAAUCUCAACCUCAAGUCACUUUCUGCGGUUCCAGCUGGUUGUCUUUCAUUUUCAGUGGGCGUGGUUGAUUCGUGAUAUUAAAAAGAAAAUGGAAAUGAUUUCCUCCAUAUAAAUUAUAAAAUAAAAAAUAAUUAGAAAAAAAAGAAUUUGUUCAUGAAUUUUAAAAAUAAUAUUUUUUAAUAUUAAGUAGAAACAUAAUUAAAAGAUUUUGAUAAUGAUUGGUAAUUAUUUUACUUUACAAGAAUUGUCUUUUUGUUUAUUUUUUUAAAUUGAAAAACAUUUAACAAAUUUUUUUAUCAAACAAAUAAUUUUUAUAAUUUUUUAAAAUUAAAAAUAUAAAAAAUAAAUUUAAAAAAUGUUAUAUUGUACAUAAUUAUUUAAUACUUUUGCAAAGAACAAGUCAUAAAAAUGAUUUUUUAAAGAGUUUUAAAUAAAAAUUACUUUUAAAAAAAUGUUAUUAAAAUAAAUUGUUAAAUAAAAAUUUUAGAUCAUGUUUAGCAACCAUUUUUGAAGACAAUUUUUAUAAUAAAAAAUAAAAUAUAAAAUUAUAUUUGAUAUUUAGAAAAUAGAGAUAAUGAUUUACUUAAAAUAAGACAUUUUUAUUUUAUAGUUAUUUUCACUUUUUUUUUUAAAUCGUUUUAAAAAAUAAUCAUAUAUGAAGUUUAUUGGAAGAUGAAUCCUUUUGUAAAAAGGAAAUUUCACAUCUAGGUUUCUUUUUAAAAUAUUUUAUCAAAUUAAUUUUCUAAUCACAUCAAUUUUUAUUUUAUUAUUUUUUUUACCACAAAAACACAAUCAUUAACUAUGGUUUUAGCUUUAAAGUUAAAACUGUAAUUAGCAAGUGUGAUUUUUAAAACCACGAAUGAUUUUGGUUUUAACCGCCGUCAGCAAUUGUAAUUUUAUCAUAAAACAAUAAUAAUAAUAAUAUGUAGAUGCUGCUACGACGUGAAUGCGUAACUCAGAUGAAUAUUUUGAAAACAAAUUUAGAUUCAUAAUUUUUUUUUUUAGCCAAAAAAGCUUUACUUUGAUGGCAAACUCGAUGUAAUACCAAGAUUGUUUUAGAACCGUUUGAAAGUGGUUCUAAUUAAAACAUAUUUAUUAAAAUCAUAUGGUACUAUGGAAAAAGACUACUCUUCCAAUAAUGUCAUCAAACCAUCUCUUAAAUAUGGCUAAUAACUUCUCCCAAUUAUGAAAAUGAAAGUGAUUCCCCAUAAAUUUGUAAGCUCUGAAAUCAAUCUUCACUUUCAAUGCAGCUUCACCAAUGCAACAUACAAGGAAUCAAUGAGAUUCUUCUGAAGAAUAUGCCUAGAGAAAAAAGAGAGGAGGACCCUGUUAGUAAGAUGGGGCCAUUGUUUUGAGUCAACCAAAAAUUCUACAAUAAUCAACCAAUUACAACUAAGUUGAGGAAAAAGUCAGGAAAAAGUAUAGUUAUCCUAAGUCCGGUCCGAAAAUUGUUUAGUCCUUUGAAUUUUAAUACUUCUGUUCAAUGUUUUCAAAAUUGGACUAAUCAAUGAAUUAGAAAAAUUAUCGAUUCAUGAUUCACUAGUCAAUCGCUAGUGGGAACUGGCAUGGGUGUCACGUGUGGGCGACAUGUGUUUUUAUAUCCUUCAAAAUGGUAUCAUUUUGAUGUCAGAAGCAUCAAAACAACGUUGUUUGAUAUUGUAAAAAUUAAAUUAAAUUAAAUUAAAAUAAAAUUAAUUGAACCGUCCGAUUCACCGAUCAAACCGUUGAUUCAACCGGUCCAAUUCUGAUUCAACCUAUUUUUUAUCCAAUUGACUGGAUUGGACUAGAAUCGUGAUCGGCUGACAGUCGGACUGGCCGAUCUGGUCCGAUUUUUAAAACCAUGCUCUUGCUAGAACAAAUAGAGAUUAUAGUAAUGGAUGGGGUACCAUAUAAUAUAAACAUGGAUGAAUAUGCAAGAGUGAACUUGAGAAAAAUGACACAACAUAUGUGAUUUAACCAAAAAGAAUUGUUAAGAUUAUUGCAGUAUAUAUAAAAAAUCCAAGAACCCUUUUCUCAUUAUCAAGAAAGCUUCCCUAAACUUUCGAAAAUCUUCAAGAAUUUGUGACUGAGUUAUUCUUUCAAAAUAAAGGGCGUAAUGUCCUUUAAGUGAUUGAUAAAUGGAUUCGAUGGAUUGCUCUAAUUAAUGAUAAAUUCAAACUAAAUUUUAAUGGACCAAGGGUAGAUCAUGCAGGUUUCAUUCAUUCAUAUUAUGCACUGCACAACAAUAACAUUUACAUGCCAUCACUAACAUAAGAGGAUUAAUUAAUUCCUACGAAUUUCAUUUCCUAUGGAAUCAUGCAAACGCAGGUGAAGGACUCAACAACUGCGAUACUCCUAUCAACCUGUAAAUCAGCCCUGGAUGAACAUCCGCCACCGAUACUUUAACUUAAGGGAUGUGAAAAAGAAAAAGGCUAGCGAAUUAGCAUCUACUACUACAAUUUCUGACUUUGGUUCUCGGCCAAGAACCCUCACAGAGCCCCAUUCAAGUGCUUCCACAGAGACCUAAGACUUCCAGGACCAAGAAAGAGAAAGAUGAAGCAAUAGAAGUACUGGUCAUUGAAGGCAUUAAGGUUCCACAUGGAGCAGCUGCUAGGUUUGAUGUUUAUGUGGCUAAACCUAUGGAGGGUCAAGUAGGUCCAGAUGUGGGAGAACUGGCUGGUAGUUUUGUGAACCUUCCCCAUGCACACUACAAGUUUCAUAUCAAGAAGCCCAAGUCACGCCUUGAGCUUGGAAUAAUAUCAUUGGUGGAAGAUAUUGAGGCUGAAUCCUCAGAAAAGUUGGUUGUUAUCAUUUUGCCUCGAAUGGGAGAGGUGUGACAAUUGGAGGAGUCCAGAUUGUACUUCUAAAGGUUGAUGAUGAGUACUAAUAACUUAAGUUUAGCAAGUUCAGACUUCCAAACUACUCUAAACAUUCCUUUAGUCAGAUGAAACUCCAAGGAUCAAUAUUUGUAAUAAAGUACCCAAGGGUUUAUUUCAGCUUAGUCUCUUGAUGUAUGUGUCUUUGUGAUAUUUAGUAUCACAGUGUUUGGUAAACUGUCAGUCAAUAACAGUAGGAGGUUAAUAAUUACGAGCAUAAUCUAAUAGGGGCAUUUGAAGGGGCUAAACUAUUACCUAUCUACCACGGUUACUGAUUCCAGUUCCAGCAUAUCGUGCAAAGAGAAAUAUUUGAACACCUUAGCAGGUGCCAUACUCUUAUUUCAAGAGAAAUUGGGCUACCAUGCAUGUUGAAAAAGAUACAACGAAGUACUAACAUGAAGAAUGGUUAAAAACUACAGAGAGGGCAGAAAAUCAGAUAAAUUAGCAUGACCAAUAGGAAGUAAUGUCAAAACCAUCCAGGUUUUAAUGAUUCCCAGCAGAUAUUGAGGAUUUAUUUGAAUUAACUAUGCAGAGUGAUCUAACAUUAGUCAAACAGUUUGUUAGCUCAACAAAAUAUAAGAGAAACUGAAGAAGAAGAAGAUGAUAUUCAAAAAGAAUGGCAACAACAAAUCAUUACUGAGUUUUGUAAUACAUACAAACAGAAUUUGAAUGAGUACAAGUGGAAUGAAAAAGAUCUAUAGUAUAUAGAAAACCAGAUUCAUAUGGUAUACCAAAUAAGGAAAUUACCUGUUUACAACCUCUCCACAGAAUAUACUGAAUUCAGAUAAUUUACAGUACUCACUCUUCAUUCGGCAUCAACACACAAGGCCUUAUUGUGCAUGAGAGCUGUCUAGUUUUUUCCACCCAACAAAAACAUGGCAUUUGUUCACUAAAUGAUUAAACAAUUCAAUUGGUGGGUCCACCUCCUGCUUUUGAACAACCACAAUCCAAAAUGAAAAGAGAAGUUAUGCUAUAGGAGAGUUUCAUCGCAGGAGAAUUAAAUAAUUCCCCUGGGAUCAAUUCGAGGGAGACUAUCAUCUUUUCCGACCAAACAAGAGAAGCUUUCUAAAUCCUUUGGUAGCUUUAGGAGAGUCUUCAACAUUGUCCCAUUUCUUCCUGGAGUGGACUGGUUCUGGGCUCAACACAUUACUAGGUGGUGGGGUUGAGAUUUCUAUCUCAGAAAUUUCAGUUGAGACAUGAAAAUUUUUAUUUGCUGCACUGCGAUCCUCAAUGUUCAAAGCAGUAUUCGAAGAUUUGUUAGCUGAUGCUGGCAGAGGAUGUGCAGUUAUUUCAGGAACAACUUGAACAUGAAUAUCAGAAACUGUUUUGUCUUCAGGAAGAACUAGGGAUGCUUCAGAUGCUCGGUUGAUGUUACCUUUUAAGUAAUCAAGCCGUGCAGAGUGAUCUUCAGUAGGCACAGAUGAGUCCCCAUUGAGCGAACUCCCAUUACAUUUCUUGUCAUCCAAAGUGUUUCCUUGUGAAGUAACCUUUCCUUCAUUUUUUUCAAUUGAUGAGGUAGUAUGCAACUCCUUAAUGUCCUCAUAAUCAUCAACAGGCUCAGGUUGAGUUGCUUGAGCAGCAGUUAACCGUAUUGGAAGUGUUGAAGAGGCUUCCUUGCAAUCCUCCUUCCUAGGCACAUCCAAUGCAGUCGAAAGCUUCCCAUUUAAGUCCUUUGGGUCAUUUUUCUUAUUGGUAGAUUUGACCUUGUUCAUGCCUGGUUUCUUAUUCUCGGGUCCAACAGCUUUCUGUGAUAAGGUAGUAGCAAUAGCCCCAUGUGCCUUCACUGCUGCCUUUUUAGGUUGGCCAGGUCUUAAUUGAGUUGAUGGUGCUUUCUGGUUUGUACGUGCAGCUGCUAGGCGAUCAAUGGUGGAACUUCUAAGCACUGGCUUGUGUAAUUUCUCUGAUUCUUGAGUUGAGGAUUGGGUUUUCAGCUUCUCAUUUUUUGUGGAAAAUGGGGUCUUCUUAGAUGUUGGAGUGAAUCCAUUAGCAGCACUUCUCUCUGCAAUUCUCUUCUGACGCUGAAGCAUUAACUCUUCCAUUUUCUUUCUACUAUCUUCUUCCUAUUUUUAAGAAAAUAAAAAAGGUAAAAUAAGACAAUAAAGAACCAACAAAAUUAAGAACGGUACACUAGAAGAAAAAUAAAAAUGAGAGACUAGCUAUUAAAUGAACAAGAAAAAUAGGGCCUGUGACCGCCCAUGGGAACAGAAUGAUUCCAUCUUUUUCAACAAAGCAUUUGAAGGCAAAAUUCAUGCCCUGAAAUGGAGUCAUCACAUCAAGUGAACCCAUCACAAUGGACAUGACCUGUUUCACAUGCUGUUUGGUAGAAAAUUACGGAUAUUCCUAUUUCCAUGGGAUAUCCAAAAGCAACUUAAAUGUUUGUUUACCUUUUCAGAUUUACUCUUCUGAAUUGUGUUUCUGCUUCCAGGAGAUGGUUUCUUGCUCCUUGAUAUAAUUUCAGAUCUGCUCUUCACAAGAGAUCCACCCAAGGCUUUGGGCCUUGCUUCUUUACUAGAAGCUUUUUCUUUGGGAGCUCCACUGUUUUUACUGCCAGUGCUCUUCCCAUUAGAAGCCAGCUUAUCAUCAAUGCAACCAGUUGUUUCAAUAUCAGAGGGCCCUCUAUCAGCUUCAGUUGAAGAAAUGUUAUUCACAUAAUCCAUUUCAGGAGUCCAAGAUGUGAUGACAUGCUCUGCAGCCGAAUCACGAUCAAGCACCAUGUAAAGGUCAUCUGGCUCAUGAGCAGAAAAAGCUUCAAGCUUAUCCUGUGAAAUUUCUGAUGCGUCAUUUUGAUGUUGAGUAGCUCCUGCAAUGUCUGCAACCAUGCUUAUGUCUGUCCCAAAGUGAGAAUUUGAUUGAUCAUUGACUAUUGACUGAGGUUGAAUCAUAAAAGAAUCAUCAACUAGAAUGUCUUUCUUAUUUUUCUCAGUGUGGAAAGAAUCACCAUCAAACAUUUUGACGCCUAUGCUUUUGUCCCGAUUUGCUGUGGUAUCUGGUUGGUUAUCAAUAAACCAAUCUCCCCCUUUUCGGCUUCUAAUCAUGGAAGAUUCAGUUGCAAAAUCAGAUAAAUUAGCCCUUGAAGAAUUCCCUGACCCAUCCAUUCCCUCUGAAAAUAACAACUCCUCAUAUGUGCUGUCCCUUUUCUUAAUUAGGUGGGCGUUUUCUCCAGCUUCGAAGUUUUUGAUGUAGGUUUUUCCUUCAUUACCUGUAUCUCUCCCAGUCACAACAAAGGAAUCACUUGAAACAACUCGUUGUUUUGUUACUUCUUCCCGCUCCAGGUUAAAAGAAAAUGAAGUUCUAGAAUAUUCCUCCUGACCCUGUAUAGGAUGUGGUUCUAAACCUUUGGAACUCACCUCCCUGUCUCUCAAAAGAAGGUUCUGAAAAGCAUCCCAGCUGUCAUUUCUUUUUUCUCCCUUGGAAUCAACCACAGCGGUUGAUCCAUCUAUGUUGUGGGGAUGCUUGGUCCCAUUCCGUUUCUUAUGAUGAUGUGAAGACCUUUUUUGUUGUCUCUCUAACGACCCAGAAGCUUCCUCCACGUGCUGUUUGAGGGAAGCUUCAUUGAUGAAAUCAUCCUCAUCAGACGAGUUCCCCUGUGAGAUGCCAUCCUUUUCUCCAUCUCUCUUGGAAGUAAUGUAAUUAAUAUUGCGGAUAACAACCUUUCUUGAGGACUUCUUUCCAUGCUUUUUUCUGUGCAGCUGUUCCACUGAAGAAUCCUUUUUCUUGUGCUGUGCAUGCUCAUCCGAAUCACUUUCAGAACUGGAAUCACUGGGCUCAGUGUAUUCAUCCUGUUCCAAACUUUCCCGUUCUUUUCUGCGUGAAAAUUUCUCUUUCUUUCGGGAAUAUGAUUCACUAUAUCGGCGAUCCUCCGCUUCCCGACCAAAACUAGAAUCUUCCACAUUUGAAGGCCACUGCAUACUCCCUGGAUAAUAUGGAGGAGCAACUUGCCUACCAGGGAAGAGGUACCCUUGAUAUGGGGGCAUUUGUUGAAAUGAGGGACCUUGAAAACUGUGCAUGUACUGGGGAAGAUGGUUUGGCCAUGGCAUUGGUGCUUGACCUUUUGCAUCUGUUGAUGGUAUAUGAGCUGAAGUCGGAAAGCUGUUUUCUGCACAUGAUUUUCAACAUCAAAGAUCAACUAGUUGCUCAGUGGAAAGAACCCCCUCUACUAAUUUAUAUCAAUCUAAACAUUUCUACAUGUGUUGCUGGCAGAGUUGGUAAUCUUGAAGACCCCCAGUUUGUCAGAAAAAUAAAAAAUAAAAUUACCAUUUGAAGAGAAAAAAGAGCUGUAGAGAAAUUUUGGGUUGCCCCUUUUUAUUCUGUUUUCUGUGUCUUCUCUGCUGCAGUACAGAGAGAUUUUAUAUCAAUAGCAGGGGGGGUUACCAUCGAGGCUCUCUAUGACAUGAAACAAAGCCCCAGGGCUUGGUUUGACAAGCUUAAAAAUUGUCUUACUGCUGCUGGUUUCUUCUCCUCUAAAGUAGAUUGCUCCAUGUUUGUUAAAUUUGGGUCUAAUUAUUGUCUUUAUGUGCUGGUUUAUCAAUGAUAUCCUCAUUACUCAAAAUUUCUCUCCAGCUCUCUUUUCUCUUCAUGGUAUCAGAGCUUCUUCACCAAUGGAAAACCCCCCAGCUAUUGAUUCCACUCCAAAUAUCAUCGUCCAGUAAAACAGACACCUCAGCACCCUCAUUACACAGCCUUUAUACCAUAUAACUGAUAGAUGAUGUACUGCAACUAAACAAUCAUAUACAAGCAGAAGUGUCUGUCGUUCAUAAUGCAGUCUUCAUGAGCAUUUAGCCAAAAAUAGUCAUGAACUGCUUUUUAAAAGUUAUUUGGGGACUUAUUUGGUGGACACACUUCCUGUGAGUCAAAUAGAAAUUUCUAUUGUUGCUCAAUUCUGACAAAUAAUAUUCUACUCUUCUUUUUUUCUUUUCCUUUCUGUAACCUCUGUAUCACUAGGUCCAAACUUGAGCCAUCUUCCUGUACAGUUUGCCUUUAACCGGUGGGUUUACAGUUUCAUUGGCUGCCAUGUAAGCUAUGGUCUGCAAGUACAUGGUCCACCAUGAAUCACAUCAAUUCAAAGGUGUUCCAUGUUUACAGCAUGCUAAAUUCUGGAUGCUAAACUGAAAGGGAGCUUAGAUAGCCUAAGGAAACAAAAUCAGUUCAUAGUGUUUGAUGGAUUCCACAUGGAUCCAUUUUAUUCUGCGUAGCAUAUGAAUGGGAAUAUUCUUUAGGGCAAAUUAUAUGGACCUUUCAUAAGGCUACGCCUAAUUCUAAACACCUCUCCUGUUUCUGAAAGAACAUUGUACUCCUUACUUAUAGUUAUCAGGAGAUGCAAGGCUUAGUUAACAGAGUAGCCAAAGUUACAAGUACCCUCAUUUGUUUUAACACAAACUCACCUCACCUGGACCCAAAUAGCUACUGAAAAAAAAGAAAAAAGAUGUAACUGAAUGGGUCAAGAGUGAACAACUGGUGAUAGAGAACACGAAAAGGACGAGCCCUGCAACAGUAGAGAAUGGGUGGAGCAAUUGGGUUUGAACAGUAUUAAUUGUCUCUGAUGGCAUGAUGGUUUUGGAUGUGGUAUCGAUAUCUUGAUGAUAUGUGUAUGACACCAUUGUGAUCCCAUGCUAAAAACAAACACCAUGUUGCCCCAUGAUGUAUUCAAUUGAGAGGAAAAAGAAGGCAGAAAAUUUGUAGAAGCAUAUUUUGAAGGUAAAUCCUUUGACACUGGAUCCAUUUUUGUUGUGCAGACUCAAUUCUAAAAGAAUGCAUUUGAUCCUAAAAUGCUUUAGGAAAAAUUUGGAAGACUUCAUCAACACAGGAUACAAAGCGCAAGACUCAAAUUGGAAUUAGUGAAUGCUUCUGAGCAGUUCUUUAUUAGAGUAUUUUAUGAAGUGCAUACUUGCAUAUAUGACUUUACAGCAUAUUCAAUGUUGUGUGACUUGUUUCCUUUAGUAACAGGCUUUAUCUAAUCACACGCUUAGUUCAUGCUCUAUGGUAGAUUUUAAUUAGAAUCAGUACCAUAGUGGCAUGUGUCAUGAACAAGUAUCUCAUAUGGAUAAUUAUUCUCAUAUUCUAUUUAAAGGAGAGAGAGAGGUGGUUAUUUUGGAAGAAAAAUGAUAAGUAUAAGGCAUGGGGAAAGAUGGGAGAAAAUUUUACUUCCACAUAUGUUUUUACCCUCAAAAGAAUGAAGCUUCACCAUAGUUAAAACUUAAGGGUGUUCCUAAAAUGCAGGAAUAUUUUUGUGGAAUACAUCUAGACUCAGCUUUUCUACCAUGAAAGAAAAAAGAGUGCAAAAGAAGAGCAAAAUUUGUUGGCUGUCGAAACCCCCCAACUAGCGUGCAACAAAGGCGAUUAACUCUUUUAGAAGUUCACAUGCAACAUUGAUGAAGCCAAAACAUAGGUUGGAGGUCUCAAGAAAAUGGAUGUUCAACCAUACCUUGGUUAAUGUCUAAACUUCCAUGACUUGCAGUGGACUCUGCAUCUAUUGAGCCAUUUGGCCUCACGCUAGAGAGCGCAGCACUGUGAACAUUUAUCAUGAGAUUUUGACAAGGGUCAUUAUCUUCACCAGCAAGUAUGAUUCCAGAUGUUCCCAGGUAUGACAAUUCUGACCGAGAACAUGCCUGCAUUGCUGCUAAUUCAUCCAUCCAUAGUCUAUCUUCAUUCUUUUUCUUACACAAUUCGAUGAAAUUUAUGCAUGCUUGCCUGAAUGAAACAAGACUCAGAUCUUAAACCCUAACCAAGGCCCCAAAUAUGGGUAAGAAUUUUGAACUAGAUUAACUGAAACAAUCUGAAGAGGGAAAGAUGGGGGUGACAUGUAACAAAUCAGAUAUAGCUAAUAUUCAGGUCAAAAGCAUCUGGAAUCAAAAAACAUGAUGCUCUUUGAUUUAUUAAAGUAAAAUUUUGAAUAUAUGGGACAAAAAUCUAGAAACCUAUAUAAUAUAUAAUUCAGAACAAACAUUACAAACAAUUACCUAACUAAACAAUUUGUAUUUUUAACUUCCAAGUUUUACAUCUUCCAUUAAUAGCAAUUUCUUACAUGCGGUUAUUUAUUAGCUCUGAUAACCGGCUGUUCAAGAAUUCCUAUUCAGGCAAUUUCAUAACAUCCAUACAUAGUGCUUUGACCUCCAAUUUCAAUUUAAAGAUUGGCAUAUGGAAUAAUAUAGUCAAGACUUGAUGGCAGAUUUGUUUUCGAAGCAUUUGGAAAGAUGGAACCAAAACAUUUAUUUUAUACUUGAUAGCAGGUCUGUUUCUACAUCAAUUUUGAUUUUAACAUGGAUAAAAUUUUCAGGGCAUACUUCUUCUACAAGUAAAAGUACAAGAUGAAGAAAUUAUCCUAGAAAAAUAUGACUAAAGUGGAGAAUUGGAAGAAUUUGAUCCUCAAGUUGCAUAUGAGAAAAAAAAAAAGUCUAGCAUAUUAAUUGUUCAUGAUUUCUUCACCCUUUGGUCAAUAAUAUGCAAUAACUUUUAAAUGUUUCUGAAUUCUAAUCUUUAUAACUAAAAAAGGCAAGAACUGCAGAGAUUUCUAAAAUAUGGGACAAAGAUGAGCAGAGAAGAGAAAAGGCAAGGAUAUAAAAAAAGGAUGUAUCAAAUGAUGCAACAGAGCAUACUCCUAAAUGAUUCUAUACUUGAAAAAAAAAAAAAACUGAUAGAGAUGAUCUUGAUAUUAACUUGGUAACAUUUAUGGGAUUUCUCAUCUCCAAGUACACUUCAGUCAAGAAAUAUUCCUUACAUGUGGACCAAAAGGAAACAUGAGGUGAGCAGAAAUGUGUGCCAAAAAUAUUAAUUUGACAAUGAAAUGAGGAAGCAAAACUUUUGGGUAAAAUGCAAGCAAGAUCAGCCACCCAGUGCAUCAAGGUCAAAGAACCUAACUCUAUGAGAGGAACCAGAAAGUUCAACUGUAUGAGCAAAUAAGCCACCAUUUUUUUUUUCCAUGAGAAACAACAAUGUAAUAUAUUAAAUUAGGAUUUAAGAAGUACAAUAGAAGGAUGAGGAAUCCUCCCACAAACAAAAGCUAAACAAAUGGAACCUCCAAAGUAGUAAGUAAACCUAAGCACCUGUGGUAUACCAUAAACCAUUUAAUAAGCCACCAAUUUAUUGUGAAUUCAAAGAAAAAGGUUCUUCAAUAUCCUGAAUUCAAUUACUUCAAAAAAAACUGUAAAAAUAAAAGCAAAAGGAAACCUGCUUACCAUUAACAAUAUAAAAAGAAAAAGUAUAUGAGACAACUGUAAGCCAGUUAGGUUGUAUAUAGACUCUAGAUAAAUCAAAUCCUGUGGUCCCCAACUCAAUUAGGCCUAGGUUCCAUCUAGUCGGUUUUAUCUGGUGGGUUGAGAGUUGACCCUCAGAGCCAGUUCGGAAUUUAAAAAGCUUUAGCCCUUUACACAAGGUAUUAGUGGAGUACAAAGAACACUACCAAAAAGGGGUACGAGUUAAUGCACAAACCUAUUUAAAGAUCAUUAUAAUGAUGUGCAAUACCAGCACUGACUCAGUGGAUUUCCCAUUCAAAGAUGCUUUAUUGAUUUCAUCAUUUUAUAUUAAUAAUGUUGCCAGUUUUCAGUUUUUUUCCAAAAGUCAGUUCCACUUGACCAUAAUCAUGGUUGGUCUUUGUUCAUACCUUAAACGUGAAGCUCCAAAUGCGUCAGCAAAGGAUAUAAGGUCAUCGAUGUAUUCCAAUUCAAACCCUGCGACCAAAGCACGAGCAUAAGCCAUUGCUUGUUCUUUGCAGAGUACUGCUUUCCUAGUUUCCAAAACACGUUGAAGACGAGCCCUGAUCAUCACCCACAAAUGUGAAAUUAAUGCAAAAGAAUAUAGAUGCACAAUGACCACAAUAUAGUCAUCAGAUACGACCAAUUGCAGGAGAAGAUAAAUUUACUUGGAAUUUUCUUCUGGUACAGCAUCACUGGUUCCAUUGAAUUCACCUUUUGACUAUAAUCCGGCAUCAAAAUGGAAAAAAGAUUCACGGUUAUGGCAUUAGAAUAUAUCACCAAACAAUGCAUUGCCAAAUGAUGGUAUACCUUAGUGGAAGCAGCUGACUUCUUAGAAUUCUCGUCAGCAGCUGACGCAUUUCCUAGUAAUUCCAAAUUAGUAGAUAAAAUCACCCCACAUGGUGCAUCAAUCUAUAAUAAAGUCAUGUACAUAAUGCAAAUCCCAUUGUUUACACUUGAGCUACUUAUCACCCUCUGCUAAAAUAUUCACUGCAAAGCCCAGUCAUUAAAAGAAUCACCCAAUGAACAAUUAUUUCAAAACAGUGUCAAUGGUAUGCGAUCACAUGACAACAUUCGCCUAAUGUUUCUAAAACUACCAAAUUAAUAGAAAUAUUGAAAGCAGUUUCAAAUCCUGGAAUAAUUUUCUCUGUGGAUUUCUUUUCUUUACCAUAUAAACCACUACCAAAUACAUUCUUUCACAAUUCUAUAUAAGGGUGAAAUGCAUAAAAGCACAAGUUCCAUCCCCAUUAAAAGUAACAGAAAAUCAUGCAAGAUUAACAUGACAUGAAGUUAGUAAGAAGCCUAUCCAUGAAAUGAUGAGUUCACUGUAGCAAUCAACAGGUAAAUGAGUUUCAGAGAUCUGAUACGAAAAUCUAGCUCCACCGAUACCUUCUGUCUCAGUUUCAUUUAAUUGAACUGAACCCUCAAUCUGCACAAUCUCCUUCUCUAUUGUCACAAAUCUCUCAAGAACCUCGGGGGUGCUUACAAAUCUCACAAACCUGUUCCAAGAAAGCAAAAGUUAAGCCCCCCCUUUUUUUUAAAUAAAAGUGCAGAAAAACAGAACUUGAGAAGAAAAUCAGGAGUGUUCACAAGUUUUUGGCUGACGUGAAACACCAGCAACUGAACGCUACACUGGAUUCAACUAAGAGAGGCAAUCAUGUUGUGUCAAAACUUAAGCAUUUUACUACGUAAGUAAACCCAAACCCGACAAGAAUAAUAAUCCUAUCAAAAAGAUAAACUAAAAUACUACCUAGUGACACAGCUAAAUCAUUUAGCCCGUGUAACAAAAGGUCCUAAGAAUCAGGUUGAGUUAGUUCUUGGAUAAAAAAUCAUACAUAUUUAUGACUCAACAGAUAUAUUUAUUUUAAAUCAAUCGGAUUAAAUAAUUUAAAGUUAUAAUUAGGUUAACGCCCAAGAUUAUUAAAUGAGUAUGAUUCGGGUCAAAUUCGUGUUAUCAGGUGGAAAGGAAUUGACUGGUGUUGGUGGAUCGUAUCAAACUUUGUUACCCCUAGAUUCAACGGAUCAAGAAAUCAACAAUUCAGGGGACGAACAGAAUUACCUCUGUAAUGUGGCUUUGGUGAACCAGGAGGCAGCGCCUGCUGUGGGCGGCGAACGAAGCGUGAUGGAGUACCCACCUUUCGCAAUCUGCUCUUUGGCGCACUUGAGGUGGGAAAGGAACGGCUCCACGAGGCCCGAGGCGAGCUUCUCGCUCGCACCGCCCGCAGCAAAGAUCACCAAAUCGCAUCUUCAAACACACACAAAGAGACAAAAAAUAAAAAAACACCACAAUGUGGUCCAUUUCCACCGCAUUUAUCAAAACACCCACAAACAAACAAACCUUGUCCUAGUGGGAGUGAGCUGAAACAGAGCGUAAUCAAGAGGAGCCCUGGAGUCCAUAGUACAGGCGGAGAGAGAGAGAGUAGAGGGAGGCUCAGAGCUUCAGAGCUGGAGAUAUUUCAAGCAUCGGUGUGCCGACACACUCAUAUCUAAAGAUGGGUUGUGAAAUGAAUGGAAGGUGUUUGUGAUUCGGACAGGGAGAGAGAGAGUGGCGGUUGGUUGAGGGUUGGUUUCUUUUCAUUUGUUAAUUGUAAGAAGCUUGGAAUUUAAGACAACGGAAAUAUUAGUCAGUCCCUCCUUCGCUUUGCGUCGCUGUCACUGUUAUCAGUGUAGAGUGAGGGAGCGGGCAAAGAAUAUCAACACUCCUGCUGUGGCCCCACUUUGCUUCCUACUUCCUACUAGUUAUUAAUUUUACCAUGUUUGUAUUAAAAUUGAUGUGAAUAUGGCAGCCAGUGGAGCUAUCUCACCCACUUUUUUUUUUUGUUUCUCGUUUGAUUCUCUUCAACUAUUAAUUAAAUGUUUCGAAAUCUAAUAGUUAUAAAUAUUUCGAGAAAAAAAAAAACCCAUCAACUCAUAAAUGUAAUAUCAAAUUCAGACAGAAGUACAUUUCACAAUGUCUAUAGAUAUUUUUUGGAGGUCACCCUCAAUCUUAAAUGUGUUCCAAUUAAAAUUUGAGAUAAUCGUGUUUUUAUCCAAUUGGAUCCAAAAAUUAAGGUUUAAUUCAUAUAAGUUCACCAUUCAAGUUCAAAACUUAGAGGAGGUGUGAAAAUUAAGAAGAAGAAUAUAAAUUUUUUAUUUUUUUCAAAAAUAACUUUUGCUCACUAUGAAAAUUAAAAAAAAAAGGGUACAAAAGUAUUAAUUUAAAUUUUAUUCAUUUUUUAAACCUCAAUAAAAUUUAAUAUAAUUUAGUGAUUUGAAAAAAAAUACAUCAUUUUACAAAAAAAUAAAAAUAAAAUAUUGUUAUUAUUAUUUAAAAGUCAAACAUCUUGGAAAAUAUAUAUAUUUAAAAUUGUGCAUAUAAAAAUAACUAAAAUAUAUGUCAAAUUUAUUUUUUUAAAUAAUAUAUUUUUAGAAUAUAUUUAAAAAAAUUGUUUUCUAAAAAUAAUAAAUUUUCAGAAUAAUUAUUAAAAAAAAAAAUUAAGAUCAAAUUUUUUGUCAAACAUUGUGAUAGAAAAUAAUUUUAAAGGGUAUAUUGAUAUCUCCAUAUUUUAUAUCAUCUCCAUUAAUUAUACAACUUAUAUGGAUCAAAUAUUAAUUUUUGGGCAUUGGGUCCAAAACACAAUUAUACCUUAAAAUUAAAACAUUUGGAGAAUUUAUUCUUAAAUAAAUAAAUAAAUGGUUGAAGGGGUUUUUUGGGUAUGUAAUAAGAUGGAAAAUUGCAAUCAAAGGGUAUGGUAAGUGAAUCAAGAUCUUAAGAGUUCAGGAUUGGAUCACACAUAGUUUUCACAUUUAGGGAAAUGUUUAGAAAUGUACCCCACUUUUAAGUAAGGGUUGUCUAAUGAUUUGGACAUUUGCCAUGCCCCAUGUACUUAAAGUUUCAACCCAAAGGUUUAAGACACUUAUCACAACUUAGACUCUAGAGAGGGCAAUUAGUAUAUAUGGCUCACCAACAAUAUAUGUGCAGUCCAAUGGCAUCUCCUCCCAUGUCACUACUUGCAUGCCUUCUCACUUUGCUAGAAUCAAGGAGGACAAAAUUUAAUACAAUCCACUAAUACGAGUCAAACUUAAUACAUAUUUUACAAAUUUGGGUUGAAUAUAAUUAAAUUUAAAUCAAAUUCAUGUCACUCUAUAUCUUCCGUUUAAUAGAUAGUUUUUUAAUCGAUUUGCAUAAUACAAAUUUAAUCAAAAUUAACCUAUUUAAUAAUUUUGAUUAAUCUAAUUAUAACUUUAAAUUAUUUAACCUAUAUUUAAUUUAUUUUUAAAUAAAUAGAUAAAUUAAGUCAUAAAUAUGUUUGGUUAAAACAUUAAUUAUAUUAACUUAUAUAAUAUCUAACUCAAUUUGAUUAUUUAAUAAAAGACUUAAUUAUUAAAUGAGUUACACAAUGUGCUACCUAUUUAAAAAUUAGAUAAUAUUUGUAUUUAUGUUUGUAAUAUGAUUAUUAUUCGUGUUAGGUUUGGAUUAACCUAUAUAGUACAAUACUUAAGUUGUAACAUAACACGAAUUACCACCCCUAACUAAAAUAAUUUAAACUAUCAAUUUAUGUAGAGAAAUAUGAUUUCUCAUAAUCAAAUUUGGCAAAUGAUUCGAUUUUAUUUUCUAUGGGGAGCUUUUCAUUUUAAAAUUAAGAAUAAUAUAGUGAAAAAUACAUGUCAAAGGGUCUCCUCAUGGAUACAAUUAUGAUCAUUUGUGAUUCUUUUUUCCUCCAAUGGGCCUACAGAAUUGGGGAUGAAAUUAUCAUUUUCAAAAUGAUUAUAGUAGGGAAAAAUAUUUACCAUACAUGCACUUGAUUGAGGUGGAGCUAUUGCUCAUAAAUUGUGUGGGACAUUGAUGUAGCAUACGAAGUGAUCACUGCAUGGAGACCUAAACUCACAAAUAGUAAAAAAAAAAUUAAUAAUAAAAUAAAAAUAAAAAUUCAUAUCCUAACUUUACAAAUAUAUGCUUAAAACCAAGUCAAACCCUUUUAAAAUCUUGAUAGAAUGUUUAAAUAUUAAUUCAUGGGUUUAAAAUAUUUUUAGAAGUACUAAGCAUUCAAAUGGCUUUAAAAAAAAAAAAAAAAAAGACAUGUACUUUCAAAUGAUAGCAUGAAAAAGUAUUUUUGUUGAAUUAGCUUUUGAGUCGGGUCAUACCAAAUGUCAAGUGACAUGUAUAUAAAAAUGUUAAGAUACAUAAAAUUAAAGAAGAACAGGAUGUCAAGAAUGAAAACAAGAUAAAAACCAUAUGAAUAUGAAUUAAGGUAAAAAGAAUGUAACUGGACUGUAAAACACUAAUGAAAAGUAUGGGCAUGCAGCAAUUGAUCAGACGCAAAUUUAAUUUAAGUGGAAUAAAAAAAUAAUGUAUUUUAUUUAAAUUUACUUUGCCUAUAUGUAGGAAGCAAAAACCACCAUGGUGUUGUAGGCAUUAAAUCUUUUAGUGAAAUAAUUAUCACUAAGUGGCUUAUUCCCAAAUAAACUUAUUAAACAACGAAAAUCGCAAAAAUAUCAUUGUCAUAUUCCAAAUUGUGAUCAAGGUGAAAAAAUCGGAAGGAUAUAUUAUUUUGUAAAGAAUAUUACCAUAAAGAUUGUACCCCACAAUUUAUCAAUUUUAAUCAAUAUUUUGUUCGCAUUGAUUUUCCUAUUAUUUUGCUAAUGUUGUAAGACUUUUACGAAAUUUGUACAUACAAGUGUACGAGACUUUGUUUUGUAUUUCGAGGAAGGAUAUAUUCUUCUUUGAGGCUUAGUUGGCUCAAUGGGUAAAACAUGGAUGGAUUGAUCCGAUCUAACUUGAAUCCAACUCAAUAUAUGAGUGACUUAGACAAUUAUUUUUAAUAUUCAGAUUGAGUUUGGAUUAAAUUUUGGAUAAUCCAAAUCUAACUUCACCUCGAUUUAAUAAUUUUUAUAAUAUCUUAUAUAAUAAUAUUUACCUUUUUUUUAGAUUAUUUUAAAAAUUAUUCAACUAAUUAUAUUAUAUACUUUUUUGUUGAAAGAUAUAUAAUUUUAUUUUUAUUUUUUAUUACUAUUUUGAAAUUUGCCUCAUUGAUUAUUUAAAUUUGAAUAUAUAUAUAUUUAUGGAUGAAUUUUAAAUCAUACAACUCGAUCAAUCUAAACAAUAUAAGUCUAAACCAUCAAACCCAAACUCAACCCGAAUUUGGAAAAAUAUAAUUGAAUUGAGUUAUAAUUAAAUACCUUAGGUUAGACAGGCUAGUUGGGAUAAACUUGGAUGGGUAGUUUUCUAAUUUGUGUUAAAUUGGAAUAAACUUGGAUUGGUAGUUUUCUAGUUUUAGUUAGGUUUGGAUUGGUAGUUUUCUAAUUUGGGUUAGGUUUGAUCAGCCAUCAACCCCGCGAAUCCGUCCAAGUUACAACCCUAACCUACCCCAAUACAUAAUAUUGUUUAUUAUUAUUAUUAUUAUUAUUAACCACUUGUAUAUUAAAAUGCAAUAAUGGAUAUUUAACCCUUUGAUUUCAUGGAAUUAGUAAUUCCAUGUAAGGCCCUUUUGUUUUGGUCAAGGCACAUUCACAAACACCGGAACAAAGAUACUAGAUUGAGACACAAGGGCAUUAAUAUUGCAUAGAUUUCACAAACGAACAAUAGCUUCACUAAUUCAAGCAUAUCAAAGAAAUUAAGCUUUAGCUUUGUGAAUUUUUACUUUUAAAAGUAACUGUGGGAGUUGGUGGGGGAUGAAGCCUAUCAUGAUAGACACAACUAUCUACCUUAUCUUAGCUGGAUAUAUGAUGACAUUUUGUCUUUGAUGAUGAUGACUAAACACCUAUAUCUCAUCCAUUAUUGGGUCCAUAUGCCAGUGUGCCACUUAAUUUUCCUGCCCUUUUUUACUUAGCCCCUGACAUGCUAUAAUACCAACCACUACCCCUAUCUUCGAAGCAAACAGCUUCCACACACAAGAAGCCAAAAGGGUCACUCAUAAAUGUAACAAUCUUGCACCCUCAGGACCCAUUUGGUUCAACUAAAAAUAGUAAAAAAAAUAUAUUAAAAUUUCUUUAACUUAUGUAGAGCUAUUUGUUAACUUUUUCGAAAACCAUUCUUUCAUAUUUUAUAAAACAAAUAUUUAUUUAAAAAUAUGAAAUAUUUUUAAUGUAUUUGAUAUAUUUUUAACUAAAUUUUAAAAUAAUUUUUAUAAUUAUUGUUUUUAACUUUUAUUAUUUUUUAUGUUUGUAUAAUUAUUUUUUAAAAUAGUUAUUUGCAAAUAAUUAAAAGAUAUUAUAUUAAAAUACCCUAUUUUUUAUUUUUAAGAAUCUAAACUGUUUUUUAUUUAUUGAUCGUAUUUUUUUAAAUUUUUUAUUUUAAAUAAUAGAAAAUUGUUUUCGAACAUUGUAACCAAACAUUAUCUUAUUCUUUACAUUCAUUUCUUCACUAAAAUAUAGGAUUUUUUUUUUAAUUAAUUUUGUUACAUGUAUGAUUGCAUGACACCCUAUCCACCCAAUUAUCAACUUGGUAGUGGUUCAAUCAAUUAAAUUAUCCAUUCAUUUCUUAUAUAUUCACUUUAUUCUUCUUGGGAAUUAUGAGUUGGAGAUCUUCAAACUCUCCACUCAUUUCAUACUUUACAAAAUUUUCAUUCCUCCAUCAGUCAAAUGCCUCAAAAAUGCAUGUUUCUCUAAAUCAACAAGCCCAUUAUUUGAAGCUGAAUUUUAAACUACUAAUGGGUGUCAUAAUAGUAUAUAUAUAUACAUAUACAUUAGAAGAUGGCCAAAAGCACAAUACUCAAUUCCUGACUAUCAUAAGCUUUGUAGGACCACACGAAUUGUCUUAAUUGAGAAGUAAGAAAUUCUUGAUAUCAAAGAGGUUUCAUGUUAAAUAUUAAUUGUAGCCAUUGUGCCAAAAUUAAAUUCAUUUUCAUAAACAGAUAGGCUAAGAAAGUGACCAAUUUUUAUAGAUUAAGUGGAGGAAUUUGUGAUAAUUGAAGAGAUAUCUCCUAGAACAUGCAUGGCUUGUAGAUGGGCUUGCAUUAAUAGGUCAGGUUCACCAACCUAAUCAUGAUCAAGACAAGGGGCCAUAUAUUCAGUUGUUUGGGGGAGAUUGGCCUAGCUGUACAUGUGAUUAUGCAAUCCAUAGACCUGUCUGGGAAUGGAUUUGGCCCCUUGAUUUGUUAAAAAUAUAUAGAUACAAAAUUCUUUGAACAUGUGAUCAAGUUCAUUGCCCAUCUUACAAAUGAUGCAUUAAUUAGAAGGUUUUUUUUUUUUUUUUUUUUGCCUCUUCUUUUUUCUCUUGGAAUUUUUUUUUGGUUAAGAAACAUAACAUGCAUAUUGAGUUCAAAUCCUAUCAACUUAAGUUUUUUCAAAAAAAAUUGGUAGUUUAAGUUUGGUUUGAAAAGAAGUUAUAGGCUCAAUUUGUAGUUAUUUGUUGAUGUUUGCUCUAUACAGGCAUAGGGUUGCACAUAAGGGGAGGUGUUAAGAAAUAUGAUAUAAAUAUUGAAUUUAAAUCUUAUAAUUAAGCUUAAACUUUUAGAAAAAUUAAUAGUUUAAUAACUUAAUUGAGUAAUUUAAAGUAACUUAAUAGCUUAGUUUUAGUUAUUAAGUAGAGUAAACAUGUUCAGCAAAAUAAUUUAAUAUCAUAACUUAAAGUUAAAAAUAAUUUUAAAUAUUAAAUUAAAUUAAUUAAUUUAUUCUUAAUCCUAUUUUUUUUUAUUUACUCAUAUAUAAUGGAAACAUAUUUCAUAACCGUGGCUCUAAAUUUAUAAUUCAUUUUUUAUAGUAAAUAUUUUAAGAUUAUCUUAUAAAUUUACGAUACUUUAAGUAUAGAUGUUUAAUAAAUAAAUUUAUUGCUUAAGAUUGAUUAAAAUAAAUAUUAGUUAAUUUUUUUAAUAAUAAAUAUUAAUUACAAUUAAUAGGGUAAAUAUGUCAAUUUAAUAACUUAAAAUAAUUUUUUAGUUAGUUUUAAUAUUUUACCAAAAAACCUUAAUACUUAAAAUAAAAAAUAAGUAAUAAGUUUUGAAUUAACAAUCUAAUUUAAAUUAACUUAAGUAAUUAAGUAAUGAAUAUUAAAUUUUAUCAAAUAACUACUAAGCACAACUAGUAGAUUUUUUAAAUAAAAUAUAAAAAAUAUAUUAAGAUAUAGUGGGUAUUUAAUAAACCAACUUAAUAACUCAAAGUGACUUAAUAACUUGAAUUAAAUCAUUAAAUAAAUUAAAUAUAUUUAGUAAAAUAAUUUAAUGACAUGACUUAAAGUCAAAAGUAACUUUAAGUAAUAAGUAAAAAGAAUUAAUUUAUUCUUAAGUUCAUAUUUUUAUUUUAUCUUUUUAUCUCAAUUUACUCUAGUAACCUCCACGAUCUUUUUGCUAGUCCAUGAUCUCUAUUAUUACUCAACCUCCUUUAUCAUAAUUAUAAUUUAUAAGAAUAAAUAUAUUAAUUUAAUAAUUUAGAAUAAAUUUUAAGUUAAUUUUAUUAAAAAAAACUUUAAUGUUUAAAGUAAUAAUUAAAUAAUAAGUUAUAAGUUAACAAUUUAAAUAUAAUUUAACUUAAAAUCAACUUAAAUGAUUAAGUAAUAAAUAUUAAAUUUUAUUAAUCACCCCGUAAAACCUAACCUUUUUUUUAUAUAUAUAUUUUUCGGUACCAAGAAUGAAAAAGCUUUUAAGAGUCCACCCACAGAUCUGGAAAGGCCUUAAAACUCCGCUGAAUUGAGUAUGAAUAAUUAAUUAAGUGCAUUUUUUCUUACCAAAUUGAUAAUAUUUCUGCACAAUUAAUUGAUUGAAUCAACUUGGAUCCAUUGGCACUGUUUGAAUGAGUCUGUGGUCCAUGCAAGCCAAAAUUAUAAUGUGUACAGCAGGAAAAGCCAAAAGCGCAUUUAGUGCAUGUUCAUCAUUUCUAAGCACUCAAUAUUGAUGGCAGUCACAUUAAGUUCUCAGUACAUUAUUUAUUGUAGACUGCAGAAGACCCAAGCAACACUUUAAGAAGUGUCCUGCAUUGUAACAUGCCAACAUUGUUCUUAGAAACUUUGGGAAAAAAAAAUUACAAAUAUUUUUUUUAAUUAUUUCUUCCAAAAUGUGGAACAAAUAAAAAAAAUCAUAUUUAAUAAGGAUAAAUAAAAAUGCAAUCCUUAAACCCUAAACUCAAAUUCCGAAAACUCUUAUCAUAGACUUAUAUUUUUGGAUAUUUUUAUGAUUUAAAGGGUUUAUGGAAAAUAUGAAUAAAUGAUUAAACUCGAGCUAUUCUAUAUAAGUUUAAAAGUUGUAUUUAUCUUGGCCUACUAGUCCUUUAUAUAUAGUGCUUGGGGGUUUGGAUCUAUGACAUGAGCCAGGGGGAGCCAUAAACUCAGAGAGUAGAAAUGGGUGGGGUGAUUCUCAAAGAACACCAGCAAUGGAGGAGUGCAGUGCAAUUCAGUGUAGGGGAGAAAACCUUGUGAUCCAACACUUGUUGUCAACCAUUUUCAUGUGAACUUGAUCAUCACUGCUACCCCCUGAUUCUGCCUGUGAUUCGCUUCAAUACCUUCUCUUUUGUCCACCCAAUUUAAGUAUAUUAUAUAUACACAUAAUAUCCUCCUCCCAUACAGUACCCUUCACCCAUCACUCUCUGAUGAUCAAUACUUGGAAACCUAGCUAGACCAAGAACAACCAUGGCCAUUAAGACUUCCAUCUGCAUUGCAGCGGUCCUUGUCAUUGAUCUCCUUCUAGUUCUCCCCGUGCCCGCCAAGCGCAUCGCUCUCCUUAGGUCAAGUAUGUAUAUAUUGUAGAAUUUUUAUAUUGUUUUAUCGUUUAUAUGCGUAAUAUACCCGGCAUAAAUAUCUUUAAUUUAUAUAUUACAAAAAAACAAACAAACACAUGACAUGACAUGGUAGUUUUCUUUAACUAAAAGAAAUACACAAUUUUGGAUUAAUUUUCGUAUAAUUUCCACAGAUGAUGACCCUGAAGAUAGUAUGGUGAUGAAACUCAAUUCCAUUAACGGGGAGAUGGCCAGAAAAAUGAGGCUGCUGAUGAGGAGGGCUGAUACGCUUGAAGACGCAGGCUCAAGCUUGCCUGAUUGCUCUCAUGCUUGUGGGUCGUGCUCUCCUUGCCGAUUAGUCAUGGUCAGCUUUGUCUGCGCCUCGUUGGCUGAAGCGGAGACAUGCCCUAUAUCCUAUAAAUGUAUGUGUAAUAGCAAGUCCUAUCCUGUUCCAUGAUCCUCCAUGUCUAGCCCUCUCAUCAUUGUACCAUCUAUGUAUAUGUGUGUGUGUUUUUGGAUUCAUCCACCUUGUCUUCUCAUGGUGAGGGAUGGGAGAAAAAGUAACCAUUGAUCAUAUUAUGAGAUAUGCAUGGUAAAUUAAGAUAUAUUUUUUAGCUAAGAGCUUCAACAAUUGAAAUAAUGAAGAAGUUUCGUAUGUGAAAGAAAUAUAAUUUUCAAUUCAAAGUUUGUUUUAAUAAUGAUACGGGAUGUUUCUAGUCGAAUUGUUUUUAAUGAAAUUUUUUUUCCUAAUAAGUGUUUUUAAGAUCAUCAUCUAUUAAGUAUUCAUUCAAAUAAUACUAUAACUAAUUUUUCAACAUAAGUAAUUUUUCAAAAUUUUAAUAUUGAUGUUUUCAAAAUUUUAUCAAAAGGUUUUUUUUUUCAAAAAUAUUUUUUAGACUAAAAAUGUAUUUUAAAAAACAUUGUCAAACAAACUCUUAGAUUAUCUUUAAAAUCGUUCACUGAAAUAAUUUUUUUUUAUCAUUUAGAAAAUAAGUUAAAAUGCCAAAUUCUCGGACAAAUUUUUAUUCUAAAACACAUCAAUCUCUAUUUAAGGAAAAAAAAAUCUAGACAUACCCUUAUUUUCUAUAUUAUUCAAGGGUCCUAUUCAAAACAAAUUCCAACUCUAAAAAUAGAAAACGGCACAACAAUUUCAGAAUCAUUCUCAAACAUUAAACCUUUGCAUACGGGCCUAACUUGUUCCUCCAAUGCGCCAUUAUUCCACGUGUUCACAAGGGUCACAUAAGGAAGAAUUCUAAGUCUAAUAUUUUUGACGACACAAAACAUACUCACAAACAUGACCCAAAUAUUAAAAUAGACUUGCCCCGUAGACGCCUUGUACCGUUACAGAAGCUUAGAUCCGUCAUAAAAAAAAACAAAAAAUGAACAAGACGAUUAAAUUAAGAGUUAAAGAAAAAUAAAAUAACGUUCAAAUUAAUCACAGCUUCUCAUGAACGUUGUGCUUAGUUUCGGCUUAGUUUCCCGGCAAUUUAAGGCAUGUGCUUUAUUUUUCCACAAGAAAUUAAAUAGUCCGGAAGGAAUUGGAAAUUUCUUUUUCAAGUGUGUAUCAAGAAAAAAGAAGGAAAAAGAACACAUGUAGGGAUCUCUCUAGUCAAAGCAACGUGUUUGAAGGUUCAGGAAAGUUUCAAAACCAUUGUUGGUGUUAUGUCUCCUGUCAAAUCACACGGCUACAUGGGAGAUUUCAAUCUUCUCCCAUGAAAUUCCUCUUCAAAAUUCAACGUUAGAAGUAAAAACGAUCAAUAAAAAAUAAAAAUAAAUGUCGAUUUCUAAGAUUAAACUAACCAAAAAUGAUGAAGAAAUUGAAGCUUUGGACUCCAAGCCCCUAUAUAAACCAGCAUUUCAUAGCAAAGCAAACCAGGGAAGAUAAAAACAUUCCAUAGAAGGAAAAAAAAAAAACUAGAUAUUCUCUAGGGUUUUGUUUUUUGAGGAGUUAAUUAUCAGCCAUGCAUCGUGCCUCAGCAAUGAUGUUGCAGCGCCGAAUUAUGAGCAGCCGGCAGUCGUGCGACGUCUUCAUUAACCACCGAGGCAUCGACACCAAGAGAACAGUGGCGACCUUGCUCUAUGACCACCUCACAAUGCUCAACAUGAGGCCUUUCCUGGACAACAAGACGAUGAAGCCGGGGGACAAGCUGUUUGAUAAAAUCGACAGUGCGAUUCGGGGUUGUAAGAUCGGCGUGGCCGUCUUUUCCCCGCAUUAUUGCGAGUCAUACUUCUGCCUCCAUGAACUGGCUCUGUUCAUGGAGUCCAACAAGAAGGUUAUCCCCAUCUUCUGCGAUGUCAAGCCCUCCCAGCUUCGGGUGGUCGACAAUGGAAGUUGCUCCCAGAAUGAGUUGCAGAGGUUUAACCGAGCUCUGGAAGAAGCCAAGUACACCGUGGGGCUAUCCUUCGACUCCUUAAAAGGGUAAGAUGAAUUAUUUUACCCAUCACACGGUGAAAUACACUCUAAAACCAAAUUUUAUAAGCUUAAACUUUUAGAAAAAAAAAUUGGUAGGUUAAUAGUUAUUUCCUUCUAAUCCACCGUUGUUUGUCUACGGCUUUGUCUAUCUCUCCACUUUGCCUCUCGUCACAUGCGGAGAGAUAUUUUGAAACCUAAAUAGGCAUACGUGGGUGGGUGAGAAACCCAAAUCCUAUAAGCUUAAACUUUUACAAAAAUCGUUGAACACUAUUUUUAAAUUAUUUAAAUUAUUAUUAUUAUUAUUAUUUUAAUUAUGAUUCAAUGGUACGUGUUAUAGGAACUGGUCUGAGGUGGUGACAAGCGCUUCCGACAUAGUGAUCAAGAGCUUGAUAGAGCUUGAAAAUGAGCGGAAGGUACGCCAGUGAGCGGUUACAUGUGCCUUUCUGAUGCAUUAAUAAUUAGUGAAGGAUUAAUAACAACGAGACUGAAUGAUCCUUCUUCCUUCAUGAUCAUCUUUCUAUUGGGUCUUCACAUGGUUGAUUUCAGCUGAUAUAUGUUAAGAUUUAGUAUUGUUUCAUUCGUUGUAUAAAGUAAUAACUGCGGCUACUUGCUAAUGCAAAUUGGUGUUUGGAUAUUGUACCAUUUUUCAAUAAUUCUUUCAUUGUAAUUUUUAUGUAUCAAUAAGAAUACCCCAAGUAUUAUUGUAAGUCCUCGUUCAAUAGUUUAUGAAUAAAAUUGUUAUAAUUAAAGUUUGUACUUUCAUGAACAAUUUGCCUAUGUUUGUUUUCCGAAAGUUCGAAGGAAGGAAUAUCGAAAAGAAAGAAAAUAAAAAUGAUAAGUAUUAGAAAAAAAUAAGUGAAGGAGGAUAAAAAAUAAAUUUAAAGUCAAUAAAUUAUUUUUAUAUAUUAUUUCAAAUUUUUUUCACUUAUUUACCUUUUCUAUAUAAAUAUUAGAUAAUUAAUCAUAUUUGAUUUUUUUUUUCGUAUUUUUCAUAAUAAAACUAAAUAUGAGAAAAUAUUUUCCUUUAACAAUUUUUUUUUUCUUUUUUAGUACUUUCUGGGAACCAAACAUAGUCUAAUCCCAUUUCUCGGCAUGUUAUAAUCAAAAUUUUGAUGGUUUAAUUACUUGGAAUAAUAAAAAUUUUGAUUUGAAUAAUCAAACUUUAGGGCUAUUAUGUUUGGUUCUCAAUAAUAAAUAGUAAGGAAAGGAAAGAAAAGAAAACUAAAAAAAAAAAGGUUCUCAUAUGUGGUUGUACUAUGCAAAAUAUUAAAACAAAAAUUAAAUAUGAAUAAAAUUAAUUAAAAUUUUAUAUAUUUUCAAAUUAUUUAAUCAUUAUACAAAAGAGUAAAAAUAAAUAAAAUGUGUUUAAAGCAAUAUAUAAAAAUAAUUUGGAUAAUUAUCCUUUAAGGGAUUCCAAUAACAUAUAAUGAACCUAAAUGAUAUAAAAGAUGUAUAAUUAGGCCCAAUUAAAAUUCAAAAGUUGGUGGAGAUGCUAAGUGAGUAUAGGUUGAACCAAGGUGUUGGCUCAACAUAGAAGGUAUUAGGCAUCUGUUGAACUAAGGUGUUAAGCUAAUACUUGGAGGAACUAGGCUUGGAUGUACUAAGGUGCUGGCUCAAUUGUUAGAGGGUAUUGAAUAUCGAAUACAAUAAGAUGUCGUCUUGCUUCUGCAUAAACAAUUUGUCUAGGCACUUACUAAUCCCUACGAGGCAUGCAAAUCAAAAGUAGUCUAUGAAUGCGUACAAAGAAUGAACCCUGAGACCGAACCUAUCUUGUCAAAUAAGAGGUGCCUCUUUGAGCUCAACAUGCACCACUUGACAUAGGUAAAGAGACAACCAAUGACAAGCUUGGUGAAGGUCUUAAGGUCUAAACCAUUAACUCAUCAAUCCCUAGCUAGGAAGAAGGUUGACUUACCCUCCCAUCGAUCACAUCCUAGUAGACAUAAACUAUAAGAAUAGGUUUGGAUCUCAAGAGAAGGCAAGGAAAAAGAGAAAGAAAAAAGACAUCUUCCUAAUUCUUCACGCAUUCGCUUCUCAAUUCAAGGCGUUUGGCUUAUGUAUAAUGGUCUUUACUUGGUAAUGAAAGGUUUGCCUAGAACCUAGAAAGGCCGAGGAUCAUGUAAUAACAAUUGACGUCAUAUGUGGGAACGAGGAAGAGUUAAUUGAAACAAGAUCACCAUGGUGACAACUCGAACGACUUGUCAUGAAGGGGAAUAACUAGUCAUGGUUAUGGUUCUAUUUAUCUUAAUUUAAAACUUUUUAUAUUUUGCUAUAAAAAAUUCAAGAUUAUUACAUAAUCAAUAAUUAUAAUUAUAAUUAUAAUCAACCAAGGAUAACAUAGGUAAGGAUAAAGAGUUAUGGAAAUGGUAAUGACUUUUUCAAGUGAUAUAAAAUAGAAUUUAGGUAAUUAGAAAUUAGGUGUUUUGUUUAAAUGAAAAAAAAAAUUAGAUUUUAAGAUCAAGUGCUGAAGUGUUCUAAUAAGCUCUUAGAGCACUUUAGCAAUUCUUGAUAGCGCUUAAGUGCUAGAAGCAUUCAAGCGCCCUUAACUAGAGCUCAAGAUAUUAAAACUUCAAUCAUUAAAUUCUAGAUUGCAAAGUUUUUAAUUUCUUUUAUAUUUUAGCAAACCUUUUUUUUUUUUUUUUUGGAAAAUUAAGACAGGGUUUCACCUUUAACCAAAAACUCUUAAAACAAGUUCACUUUUGCUUUUGGAUUUGUGAGGAUGAAUCACAUCCAUUCAAAGCAUUGAUGUUAAGAUUCAAGAAACAAAGGUGGUAUUGCAUCAUGUACAAGAUGUUAGGUAAUAUAGAUACUAGAAUGUAAGUAUGAGAAAGUAGUAAUUGUCAGACAAAUCCAUAUACUUAAUUCUUCAAAACUAGUGGAUUGUAAUUUUACAAUUAAAAUUCUUGUUAUACUGAUUAAUAAUUUAAUUAAUUAAUUACUCCUUAUAAAUAAAAAAAUAAAAACCAUAAAUUUGGAACCUUUGAACUAAAUCAAUAAAAUACAACCUAUUCACCAAAACUUCUAAAAAAAGAAAAAAAAACACUUUUUCAUUUAUAUAAAAAUAUUACCUAAUUUUUCAUAAUUUGUUUAUAGUACAUAAAGUAUAUAUAUAUAUAUAUAAACUUUUAAGCCAUUGCCCCGUUUGACUUCCCUUUGUGACCAUAUAAAUUGGACUGAAUUUCAUUCUCUCUUUUGAGUUUUCCACGUCGUUCUAGUCCUCGUGUAGGUGCUGACUCUCAAAUUCUCUUAAUUUGUUCAUAUUAGGCUUUCUAGGAAAGCGUUUGUCCACCUUACUCCUAGUCAAGUAACGGUAAUGGCCCGCAUUACAAUCACAUGUUAUAUAAUUAAAAGUUAAUUAAUUAAUAAUUUUAACAUACACAUAUUUUCAAGACAUAGAAUGGCAGACAUAAACAUAAAGACGCGUAAUGACAAUAGAGAAUACUAAUGAUCCAUUUAAUUAAUAUUUCAUUCUCUUAAUUUAGAAAAUAAUAUUUAUUUUCUUAAUUUUAGGAUAUUUAUUAUUUACUUUUUUUAUACUUUCCAAUGUAUUCUUGUAUAAAUUUUUGAAAAAAAGACUUCCAUUACCAAAUUAUCAAAUUCUUUAAUAAAAAACAAAAAUACCAAAUAUAAUAUAAAAUUUAUAUUUUAUUUGAUACUUUUGAAUUUAGUGAUAGAUUAGAUUGGACUAUUGGCUCAAUCUAUGCGGCCAAACUCUAACAUCAUUGUACUUGGAAAAGUAUCUAAUAUGAUACUAAAUUUGUAUGGUAUUUAAUACUUUCAAACCUUCAAAUAUUUAGAUCUGGUGGUAGAUUAUAUUGGACUAUUUUGUGUGGUCAAGCUCUAAUAUAAUCUUAAUAUCAUAAAUAUGUACUUUCUUGGAAUGAUCCUAAAUGUCUCAUCAUUUUUACUAUUAUAAAUAUGUCAUUAAAAUGUUACUAAUUAAUAAUUUUGAUAUAUAUUCAGAAUCCUUUCGGGAAAUUUCUUGAAAUUGAAAGAAAGCAAGACGAGGAAAAAUACUUUUUUUUUUAUAAUAUUAAAUUUGUGCAAUUUUUAAUUUUUUUUGAGAUCCUUAUCAAGCAAUAACCCCGGAAAGUUUUGGUCAUAUAUCAAAUUAAACUAUUGAUUCGGUCUACGCUCUAUAUUAAUUUAAUAUCAUAAAUAUGUACUUUGUUGUAAUAGUGCUAAAUAUCUCAUUAUUUUUACUAUUAUAAUUAUGUAAUUAGAACGUUACUACUUAAUAAUUUUGAUAUAUAUUAAGAAUCAUUUCUUGAAAUUUCUCAAAAUCGAAAGAAAGCAACGGGAGAAAAAAAAUACUUUUUUCUGAUGUUAAAUUUGUGCAGUAUUUAAUUUUUUUAAGAUCUCUAUUAAGCAAUGACUCAAAAAACUUUUAGUCAUAUAUCAAAUUUGACUAUCGGUAAAAUUUGACUACUAGUUUAGUCUAUGUGGUCAAAUUUUAUUUUAACUUAAUGUUCUUUAUUAGUAGUGUUGACUACGUUAUUAUUUUUAUCAUCUCCUUACGUGUUUUACAUGUUAAUAAUCAAUGUUACAAAAUGAUUAUCAUUUAUUAUUAUAAAAAUUUGUUAGGCAUUCAAUAAUGUGAAUUUUGAUAUUGAUUUUUGACUUACUUGAAUAUGGUUUAAGGUCGUAUUAUAAAAAUAUAUUUAUCAUAAUGUUCUUCUAUAAAAAAAAGAAAGUUAUAAUUAUAUUUUAAAAAUAAUUAUCAUAUUUGAUAAAUCAAUAUUUUUAUUUAAUUUUAAAUAUUUAAUAUAAUAUAUUGUAUUUUUAAUUAAUAUAUAAAAACUAAAUAUUGUAUAUAUUUAAAUAAAUACAUAAUUUUCACUAAUUAUUAAAAUAUUAAAAUAUUUAAAAAUGAUUAUUAAUGAUAGGUAUCUUUUAGUCCAAGUCAAAAUGAUUUCACGAAGUGGAAUGACAUUUCUACCAUGGGGAAUAGAAAUAUGGGAACAAGUCCUGCACACUUUUUCUUGGCAAAAAGACAGUGAUUGCAUCCAAUAAAAUGUGGCCACGUGUAAAAUUUAAAAAUCACAUUAUAAAAUCAAAUUUUAUAUGGAAAACCUUUGGAUUUGAUGGUAGAUUAGAUUGGACGAUUAUUGGUUCAAUCUAUGUGGUCAAACUCUCACAUCAACUUAAAAUCUUAAGUACGCACUUUGGUAGAGGAAAAAUACCUAAUAUAAUAAUAAAUUUGUGUGGUAUUUAAUACUUUCAAACCAUAAAUGGCUUAAAAAAUAUUUAAAUUUGUUUAUGGAUAAUAUUGGACUAUUUUGUGUCAUUAAGCUCUAAUAUAAACUUAAUAUAAUAAAUAUGUACUUUCUCGUAUCAGUACUAAAUGUCUCAUCGUCAUUAUGUAAUUAAUUAAUAAUUUUAAUAUAUAAUAAAAGUAUGUUUGAUAAUGAUUUCAAGAAACGUUUCUAAUCUUUAUAACACUUAAAUGAUAAAAAAUUUUAAGUAUUACAAAUAUUAAAAACACUUCUUAAAAUUAUUAUGAAACGGAUUUUAAGAGUCUUUUUUUAAAUUUUUCAAAAUUGAAAAACACAAUGGGACAAAAAAAUUAUUUUUAUAAUAUUAAAUUUGUGUGGUAUUUAAUUUUUUCGAGAUCUCUAUCAAGCAAUGACUCGAGAAACUUUUGGUCAUAUAUCAAAUUAGACUAUUGAUUCAGUCUAUAUAGUCAAGGUCUAUAUUAACUAUACAUAAAAAGAAUAUGUACUUUCUCAACGGUACUGAUUGCAUCGUUACUUUUAUUAUUAUUUUUAUCUUCUUACGUGUUUGACAUGUUAACAAAGAAUGAAUAUAUUACAAAGUAACUGUCAUUUAUUAUUAUAAAAAAUUGUUGGAUAUUCAGUAACGUGAAUUUUAGUAUUGAUUUUCGACUUAUUUGAUUAUGAUUUAAGGCUUCGCACAUCAAUUAUAAAUAUUUAAUAAAUCAAUAUUUUAUUUGAUUUUAAAUAUUUAAAUAUUUUGAAUUAAUAUAUAAAAAUUAACUAUUGUAUAUAUUUGAAUAAAUACAUCAUUUUUAUUAUUUUUAAAGUAUAAAUAUUUAUUUAAAUUUUUUUAAUAAAUUAAUAUUAUUAUAAUAUUCAAAUAUUUAAUAAUUAUUAUUAAUGAUAAGGAUCUUUUUGUCCUAUUCAAAAUGACUUCACAAAGUGGAAUGACAUUUCUACCAUUGGGAAUAGAAAUAUGGGAGCAAGUCCUGCUGACUUUUUCUUGGCAAAAAGUCAGUGAUUGCAUCCAAUAAAAUGUGGCCACGUGUAAGGUUAAAAAAAUCAGAUGAUAAAAUCAAAUUUUAUAUGGACAAUAUGAAUAAACUCUUUGCAAUUUAAGAGACGAAAUUAAUGCGAGCUACCGACACCAUGAAUAGAAUUAAAAUAACAUCACACAAGAAGACAACCCCACAUGUCACAUUCAGUCAUUCAUUCUAAUUUUAUAUCACAUGUCACAUUGUUAAUCUCAAGGAAUUAUUUUAGUGGGUGUCAUAUUAAUUAAUUCAAAUAAAAUAAUUAUUUUGCAAAUAAGAUUAGACCUUAUUAUUAAAAAUUGGUUCCUAGGUGAUCCGCGCACAAAUUUUACGCAAGUCCUACAAAAUUAACAAAACAAUAAAAAAAAAAGUAUUAAAAUUAAAAUUGUGGGUACAAUAUAUGUUAAUAUUGUUUUACAAAAGAAUAUAUUGUUUUCAUUCUUCCGUUUUGAUCACGACUUGAAAAAGGAAGACGAAAUUAUUUCCUUAGAUUUAAAUAUCAGUCAAGGGUCUAAAUGACACUUUUUUUUCUUUCUCAAAUAAACUUAUUGAAUGGUGAAGAACACAUAUAACACUUCUAUCGUUUUGCUGAUCUCGUUUUUACUGUCUUUGAUCUUCAUUGGAUUUUUUUCUUUGGAUUUUUUCAAUUGUGCCGAAUUUUCUUUUUUGGAUUUUUGCGAUCCUUUUUCUUGAAAGAAGCUAUCUCUAUUUAUAAGUAAAUGUAGGAAAUUGAAUUUGAAUUUUUGAAUUUUAAUUGCUUAAUUCAAGGGAUUUAGUUAAGUGAUUUUAAUAAUAAUAAUAUAUUUUUUAUUAUUAUUAUUAUUUUCCUUUUGUAGGAAACUUGAGGAUAUUAAUUUUUAUUUACUUAUUUUUUUGUUUUGAAGAUCAAAUUAGUGGCAAUUUAAUUCACUAAAUUUGAUUCAUGGUUAGAUAAUACUCCAAAAAUUGAAAAAUGUGGACCCUUCAAAUAAAUUAUUAAAUAUCAUUUAUUAUUAUUAUUAUUAUUAUUAAUGUGUAGGAAAAGACAUUCAAGAAUUUCCCAUUAUUAGAAAAAAAAUUGGGGAAUUUGUCACAUAAAUUCAAACCCAAUUGAAAAUUAAGACAAGAUCAUGGAAAUUAAUUAAGGAGAUGUCUGAACUCUUAUUAUUCAUAAGAAACCAGAUGGCGGCUUUCAACCUCUGCUGAGUCAGGUAGGAAAAACAACAAAUUACAUGGAAAAUACAAUUGAUUUUUCUGGAUCCAUUGAAAACCCAUGUCCGUCUUGUGCCAAACAUUAAAAAAAAAAUUAGCAGAAUGGCAUCUCUUGUUCUUCAUCUUCUUCCUCUGCAGCAUUUUCCCAGUACCCAAACAAGAUUUUUUUUUUUUUUUUUUAAUGGAGGAAAGAGUGUGAGUAGGGAAGAUAAGUAGAGAGAGCAAAGGAAGGCCUGCCUCUCAUGAUUCUGUUGAUCGCAUAGCCCAUGACCUCCACCAUCUCGCCGGCAUAUCUCAUCAGCAAUGGCCUCAGAAACACAGCCCACAGCCCCACCACCGCCAGCAAAAGCUCUGCUCCCAAGCUCAUCCUCCUCCUCUGUUGCAUUUCCUCUUUACAAUUCCUUCGCUUUCGACACACUGUUUCUCGUCUUUGUCACUGGCUGUGUGGAUCACAUUUUCUUGGGAUACGUUUGAAGUGGCAGGAAGGUGUUGGUUUUUGAAGUCCGAGGCAUCCCCAUCUUUCACUUCGCCUAGCUACCAUUCUCAACUCUCAGUCUUCACCUUCAACUAAAAAGGCAAGUGGGG